rnacentral:lncRNA from 1 species
AAAAAAAAAAAAACUUAUUGUUAAGUUUUAUUUUCUAUGUAUUUAAGUUUCAAAUGUGAUGUACAUAAAUAAUGAAAUAUUAAUGAAUUUUGAAAUUAUUAAAUGUGUCAAAUUUUAAAAUAAAAUUUUAGAGAGGAUUCAAGGUGACAUAUGUGGACCUAUUCAUCCACCAUGUGGAUCUUUUAGAUAUUUUAUGGUCCUGAUAGACGCAUCUUCGAGAUGGUCACAUGUGUGCUUAUUAUCUUCUCGCAACCUGGCGUUUGCGAGAUUACUGGCUCAAAUUAUUCGNNNNNNNNNNNNNNNNNNNNNNNNNNNNNNNNNNNNNNCAUCUGGAUUCAUUAUAAUUGCUAUGUACGUUGAUGAUUUAAAUAUUAUUGGGACUCCUGAAGAGAUUCCAACAAUUAUAAAAACUCUAAAAGAAGAGUUUGAGAUGAAAGAUCUUGGAAAGACUAAGUUUUGUCUUGGCCUGCAGAUCGAGCAUAUAAAAGGUGGGAUCUUUAUUCAUCAAACAACAUACACAGAAAGGAUCUUGAAAAGAUUUUAUAUGGAUAAGUCACAUCCAUUAAGUACCCCAUAUGUUCACACACAAAAUGGGUUAGCAGAAUCACUUAUUAAACGCCUCCAAUUGAUUGCUAGACCUUUGCUUAUGAGAACAAAUCUCCCAACCUCGAUUUGGGGGCAUGCUAUUUUACAUGCCGCAGCACUUAUUCGUUUGAGGCCAACGAGUUACCAUCGGUUCUCUCCUAUGCAAUUAGCUUUUGGCCAGCAGCCAAAUGUUUCCCAUUUAAGAAUAUUUGGGUGUGCGAUAUAUGUUCCCAUUGCACCACCUAAUCGCACCAAAAUGGGACCCCAAAGAAAAUUGGGGAUAUAUGUUGGAUAUGAUUCUCCCUCUAUAGUGAGGUAUCUUGAGAUACAAACGGGAGAUGUAUUUAAAGCCCGGUUUGCGGCUUGUCAUUUUGAUGAAUCAAAAUUUCCAACAUUAGGGGGAGAGAAUAAGCUUCCUGAAAAGGAACUUAAUUGGAAUGCAUCAUCGUUGAUGCAUUUAGAUCCUCGAUCAGCGCAAUGUGAAUUAGAAGUUCAAAAGAUUAUACAUUUGCAAAGAAUAACAAAUGAAUUUCCUGAUACAUUUUUCGAUACAAAGAGGAUAACCAAAUCUUAUAUACCAGCAAAAAAUGCCCCAAUUCGAAUUGAUGUCCCAUUUGGACAAGUAGCCACUGAAGCACGAAGUCACGAGAAGCGUGGCAGAGCGGAAAAUGCCCCAAUUCGAAUUGAUGUCCCAGUAGGACAAAUAGCCACGGAAGCAAAUACACGCCAGAAGCGUGGCAGGCCUGUCGGUUCCAAAGAUAAAAAUCCUCGAAAGAGAAAAGAGGUAAAUACGAUUCCUGUUGAAAAAGACAUAGUAAAGACACCGGCGGUUGUCCAAAAUUCUGAUAUAACGCCAGAAGACGUUCAGGUACCUGAAAAUUGUGAAAAUGACGAGAUCUCAAUAAAUUAUGUCUUCACAGGAGAGAAAUGGGACCGAAAUAAGACAAUUAUCAAUGAAAUAUUUGCAUAUAAUGUGGCAUUAAAUAUCAUGCAUGAAAGUAAGGAUCUUGAGCCAANNNNNNNNNNNNNNNNNNNNNNNNNNNNNNNNNNNNNNNNNNNNNNNNNNNNNNNNNNNNNNNNNNNNNNNNNNNNNNNNNNNNNNNNNNNNNNNNNNNNNNNNNNNNNNNNNNNNNNNNNNNNNNNNNNNNUAAUUUUUAUAUGAUCUUCCAAUAUUUUUGGUAAUUUUAAUCCAAUCCUCCACUGCUCAAAUUUGUCGCUACGUGUAAUUCUUAUAAUGACGACGCCAAAUCCAUUCAGGAGUUAGUUCACAACUAGUUGUAUAUAUUAAAAAGUCACCCAAAAAAAAGUGAUAUAUUAAAAUUAACUAAAAAGUUAAAAUAUAAGUAUAGGUAGAUAAUAAAAAUAGUAAACAAUAUAAAUAAUAGAUAUAUUGAAUGUUUAUUUUACUAGGUGUAUAGAUGGUUAUUCUAAUAUUAAAAUUUAAAUAGAUAAUUUAGAAGUGUAGUGUAUUUUUAUUUGAUUGGUGGUUGUUUAUAUUGUUCAAAAAAAUUAUUGAUUACUUAGCAUAAUUCCGCUCGAAUAGUACAAAAUAGGGUAUUAAAAACCAACUAAAAUUUACUGUGCAGUAAAUCGCCAUGUAUUUUUUUGGUGACUAUUUUAAUAUUUUUUGGUGACUGUAAAUCGCCAUGUAUGCCUACAUAUAUGAUCCUAUAAUAUAUAUUGAAAAGAAGGUUAUUCUUGUAGUGAAAUUAUAAUGUGUCAUCCCUUAUAUUUAUUCUGAGUUUCUAUCAAAAUAUCAAUGUUUUUAUUUUUUAUUCAUCAUGACCCUUAUUACCUUACCACUCCUACAUAAAACCAUUUUCAUUACACUUCACAUUUUAUGACUGUGUCAAAUUUUUCUUUCCUAUUUUUAAACUUGCUUUACAUGUACAUACUUCCUUGAAAUUUUAGUUUUUUUUUUUAAUUUUGAAUUCAAAUUCAAAAUUAAAAAGGGGGAUCUCUCCAUUUUCUGUUUCCAGUUUUUUCUCUUCCUCCUCAAAAUUAAAAAAGGGAUUCUCUCCAUUAUUUUUUUCUCUUCCGUUCACUUGUUCUCUUCUUCUUUAGUUCUUAUUGGCCUCCUCCGUUCACUUUCUUAAGACGCACCCCCACUAUCAGGCGGUGGCACAAAGCUUUGUAGGGAAUCUGCUUCAAUCACAGAUUCGUAAUGUUUUGCGAUGACGAGUUAUGUAUAUUUCUUAUUAUUUGAUCUAAUGUAUAUCUUCUAAUUUUAGUAAUAUUUGAAAUAUUAUUGUUGUUAUGCAUAUGCGUCUUUGUUUAGUAUGUAGUUGUUCAUGCAAAAAAGACAGAAUCUCAUUGUUGUUGUCAGGAAUCUAUUUUCAAUUCGCCAAAAGGUCUUAACCUCUUUUCCUCUCAUAUUCAAUUUGCUUACAAUAUACAAAAUCAAAUGAGAUUUCUUAUGUCAAUGUACGUCAAAAGGUUAGACCUUCUUUCACAAUGGAACUUUGUUGGAGAGGUUCUACAUCAUCAGAAAUUUUUUCUUAUCAGGAGAAGGCGCAGAUUUUGUCUUCAACAUGGCAUAGUCAAAGGGAGCAAGGUCAAAUUUGACGUCCCUGUUGAUGAUAAAAAAAUCAAUGAAUUUAGAAGUUUUAAAUAUUUAGUAUUUAUUAGGAUUUUCUCUUCCAUCAAACACUAUAGAUCUUUUUGGUUAUUUGGUUAUUCAUUAUGCAGUUAGUUUGUUUCUAUUUUUCAUUAUUUUUUCUAUUUAUAUAUGUAAUGAAUAUAUUUAUUUGAAUACAGUAGUCUAAUUAUCAUGCUUAUUAUUUUCUCUUUAUUAAUUUUUCUUCUCAAAUGCUUUAUACAUAGUUUUUAUUGUAUUCUUACAUGGUAUCCAAGUUCCUAAUACAAAAUUGAUGUGUUCUAAUUAUCAGAUGAUUCUGUGCAGCGAUAUAAUAAUUUUUUAACUGAUAAAAUUUUGAAUUAAAUCAUACUCAUGUAAUCAAGUCAGCUUAAUCACCACCAGUUUUAAAAUUUCUUUUAUAUCAUAUGUAACGGUAAUUUAUAUACUACUGAAAAAUCAUAUAAUCCUCAUAAUAUGUUUCUACCAGAUUUCUUCAAUAAAUAUAUAACUAUUUGUAUUCAUGUAUCGUCCUGUAUGCGUAAACAUAAAGCGAAUUAUUAUAACCCAAUGCACCCAAACCAUAUAUCCACUAAUAUUGAACUUGCUAUGAUAAUUCAAAUUUUUAUUCUUAAACACAAUUUAACAUUUUCAUGUCGUAUAUAAUUUUUGUAGUAUUGAUCACAAUUAUAUAUUUAGUUGUUACUUCAAAGUAUUGGAUUAGUUUUUUUUUUUCAAAGGUAACAUGAUAUUUAUUUAUUAAAAUAAAAUAAAUAAGAGAUGUGGGUCCACUUUGGACAACCAUACAGCAAUGUAAUAGAGGGAAUUCUAAGCAAUUAACAUUUCUUUAGCUAAAGCAUGACUAAACACAACUAAGACCACAUAUUAUGACUCAUUUGUCUUCUGCAUCUCCUCCAUGGCUUCAUGCGCUGAAGUGAUAAUUGAAUCUGGUGAAGUACUUUUAUUUUCAAAGACACAAAGGUUCCUCGCGAUCCAAAUCUUCCAUAGCAUAACGGCUGCCAAUGCUGAGUUCUUCCUCCAAUGGUGUCUUCGUCUUGCUCCUUCCAUGAACUGGCUCCAUCGCUCCCAAAAUUUCCCUGAACUGUUUUGCAUCAGGUAAGCUCCUAAAUCUAACUUCUGCCAAACUUCUUGUGACCUUGGGCAAUCAAUUAAGCAGUGAUUUAUAUUUUCCCCCAAAUUAUUGCAUCUAGGGCAGAUUUCUGGGACUGUUGGUAUCCUUUCGUGAAGUCGAGUACGAACUGGUAUGCCGUCAUGCAGGGCUUUCUACAGGAAUACCUUAAUCUUUGGCAGACAUUGAAGUUCCCACAACGAUUUCCAGAGUCUCUUUUUCCUGCACAAUUCGGGUAACUAGCUGAUUGGAGAAUGCACCAUUUGAAAAGCUAUAUUAUAGCCUGAAGCCACUGUGUAUCUGCCGUUCCUCUCAUUUUUCCAGGUAAUCCGAUCUUCUCCAACUUCCAUAAUAGUAGUUUGUAAGAUUUCUGAUGCAAUUUCUGGAUUGAAAUUAUUUCUGAUUAUAUCCUCCUUCCACUGUCUAUUAUGAAUGAGUUGAUUUACCCAAAUUAAAUUAGGGUCUGUAGCUGUUUGCUGUUGUUCGGAUAUUGACUUUACAUUUUUAAGCCACCAAUCCUCCAUAAUUCUAAUCUGACUGCCUCGUCCCACUUGCCAAUGAGUACCUUGUUUGAUAAUUUUCCUUCCUUCUAGUAAGCUUCUCCAGGCCCAAGAAGGAUUUCGCCCUGUAUCCACCCGUAGGAAAGAAGAAAAUUUAAAAUAUUUGCUUUUGUAAAUUCUACUGAUUAGAGAAUUAGGUUUCGUGAUGAUUCUCCAGCCUUGUUUAGCCAACAUGGCUAGAUUAAAUGCUUUCAAGUCUUUAAAGCCUAACCCUCCAUACUUCUUUUCUCUGCAAAUUAUAUCCCACCUGAUCCAUUGUAAUCUUCUUUCCGACCCCCUUUGCCCCCACCAAAAAUUUAUCAUCUUUCUCUGAAUCUCGUCUAAUAAUGUGUCCGGGAGCUUGAAACAGCUCAAAGUGUAGAUCGGAACAGCCGUAGCUAUUGCUUUAAUUAAAACCUCUCUCCCACUGACCGACAAUAAUGAUCGCUUCCAAGCCUGUAGUUUCUUAUCCACUUUCUCCUUUAUAAAGUUAAAGGUCUGAGUUUUUGAUCUAUUAAUCACUGUCAGCAGUCCCAAAUACUUAUUUUGUCUGCCUACGUGUGGAAUCUGAAGUAGUUGAGAUAAGAGUUCUCUAUUCGGACUAGGGGUGUUCUUGCUAUAGAAAAUAGAUGACUUAGAGAAAUUAAUUGUCUGCCCACUAAUAUCACCAUAACACUCCAAUAUCUCCAUCAGCUUGUUGCAUUCUACCUCGUUUUCCUUGCAAAAAAGAAUGGAAUCAUCUGCAAAGAAUAGGUGGCUGACUAUAGGGCAUCUACCGUUGAGUCUUAAACCUGAGAUUUCUCUCCUCUGUUCUCCUCUGUGGAGCAGAUGGGAAAGUCCUUCUGCACAAAGUAGAAAAAGGUAGGGGGAGAGGGGAUCACCUUGUCGCAAUCCCCUACAUGGUUUGAAAAAACCAUGUGGUUGUCCAUCCACAGUAACAGAGUAGGACACUGUGGUAACACACUCCUUAAUCCAGUCCACCCAUUUAUUGCAAAAACCAAGCUUCUUCAUAAUCUCCCAAACAAAAGACCAUUCAACUCUAUCGUAAGCCUUACUCAUAUCGAGUUUUACUGCCAUCUCAUAGUCUCCAUAAUUUUUAUUUUUCAGAAAAUGCAUAAAUUCAUGUGCAAUUAGGAUGUUAUCACUAAUCAGGCGCCCUUUAAUAAAGGCACUCUGAUUAUUACUAAUAAUUUUAUCCAACAUACCCUGCAUUCUAUGAACAAGAAUCUUGGAAAUAAUCUUGUAGAAGACACUGCUAAGGCUAAUCGGACGAACCUGGGUCAUGGAUUAUGUAUUUGGCACCUUUGGGAUUAGACAUAUAUGAGUAUGAUUCAUUGCUCGCAGCAUCCUUCCCCCUGCAAAGAAACUCCUUAUGGCAGCAUUUAGAUCCUCUUUAAUUAUCUCCCAGAAGUGUUGGUAAAAUUUAGCAGUGAAUCCAUCAUCACCUGGGGCGAAAAAUGCAUUGAUAGAAAAUGUUACUUUUUUUAUUUCUUCUUCUGUUACUCGUCUAGUAAGUCUUCGAUUUGUUUCUUCAUCCACCUUAGCCUCCAAGUCCUCUAGUUCGCCCGUGGCUGGUCUGGGGUUUGAAGAUGUGAACAAUUUUUGGAAGUACUCAGUAGCAAUUUGAGCUAUACCCACCGUGUCUGAUCUGAAAUUCCCAUUACUGUCUUGCAGCCUAUAAAUUUUAUUUUUCCGGUUCCGAGUUUGAGCCUUGGCAUGAAAAAAUUUGGUAUUUUGAUCACCCCAUUUCAACCAUUGAAUUCUGGAUUUUUCUCUCCAAUAUCUCUCCUCUUUUAAAUAGGCCUCGGAUAACUCCUCCUCUAAUUGAAGAAUCUUUAUUCUGUCUGCUCCUGUGCUUUUGAGUUUUUCUUGUUCUAUAUUGAUUCUUAAUUCUGAAAUUUCCUUUUGAGAGUUGUUUGAACUUGAUUUUUACCAUUCCACUAGUCCAUGUCUACAUUUCUUCAGUUUGGAAAAGAACUUGAACAUUGGAGAGCCUUCAAAUUGUGAGUGCCAAGCUUCUUCCACAAUAUGCCGAACCUCCUCACUAUCACACCACCUUUCUUGGAACCGAAACCUUCUCUUAGUUUUAUGUACCUCUCUAUCUGCCAUUAAUAAAAGCGGACGGUGGUUAGAACCCGAGUCUUCUAAGUGAAGAAUUACUGCUCUCGAAUAAUCUGUUCGAAACUAGAGAGAAGAAAGGCAUCUGUCUAUCCUUUCCUGGAUAAGAUUUUCUCUGUAUUGUCGGUUACUCCAGGUGAACUUCCUUCCUUCAUAUCCCAAAUCCACUAACUCCCCAUCAUUAAUAAAAUUAUUAAACGCCUCAAUUGAUGCAGCUAAUUUUCUGCGUCCCCCUUCCUUUUCAUGAGAAGCGGAUAUGGCAUUAAAAUCUCCUAUCACAAUAAAGUAGGGGCUUGCUGACCUCUUAAUAUCCAGGAUUCGUUGAUACUGGGCAGAACGAAUGCUCUCGUCACAAUGUAAGUGAACUGCCAUUACUUCCCAUCGUUUUUGAUUGGCAAUGUCUAUCAAUUCGAAGUGGAUGAAAAAGUCAUCACUGGAUCGUACUGAAAUUCUACUAUCCUCCUUCCAAGCUAGUGCCAAACCUCCAGAAACUCCUCUUGGAUCGACACAAUAAACCUGCUGAUAUCCAACUUUGGUGCAGUGGCUAUUUACAUUUAAGGUAAUAUUUUUUGUUUCGCAUAAAAACAUUACCUCGGGGGAAUGGGAUCUACAGAUCCCUUGUAUGUUGUGAACUGUCAGGGGAUUUCCCAUACCCCGACAGUUCCACAUCAUCAUCUUCAUGGAUCCUUGGGUGCCAAAUGUGGGGUGGCACCCUCUCCCUCUUCAGCAAUGCUAGCUUCAUCCUCUACUGAGCAUAUCUUCUUUUUUCUGGCAGUCAUGCUUUCUCCCUGGAGCCCUCUUUUGCUUCCAGUGACCUUCAAGAAUUUUCUUCAGGCUAGUUGUUUCAGGUUCUGUCCCUUCUCCCCAUUCGUGGUGCUUCCGAACACAAAUCCUUCCUCUUCUCUCCCCAUUCCCAAGUCUCCACUAUCUUCUCCGUAGUUUUCCAACAUUUGUUUUUCUUUCGUUGCCUACAUCCCUUGGAAUAGUUGGGGUUCUGGUAAGUGUUCAUUCUGCAAUGUUCGGUCUUUACUCAUUACUUCUUCUCCUUUAUUUUUCUUCUGCUGUUGCUGUGACUGCAUUGACAAACUAGCCAAACUCCUUAUCAAAUUCACUAGAAUAGGCUUUGUAAUCUUGUUCUGUCUGCUCUUCUCAUUUAUCGGCACCUUAAAGUUAAAAUUGUCUUCUGUGUGAUUCUCUCUUUUACCGGAUUGAUCUGAUUUCAGCCAUUCGCCCCAUCUUUCUUCUUUAACCUCUCCUUUUAAGGAAUCAUCAAGUUGAAAACUGCAUAUCCUUGCCUCAUGUCCCACAUAGCCACAAUAGUUGCAAAAGUUUCCUAUCCGUUCAUACUUCAAACCAACUUCCAGCACCUUUUUAUUUGGGCCGACUAUACGCAGGGAUCUUUUAAUCGGUCUAGUGAUGUCUAAACUGACUUGUACCUUAACUAUGCUGUGUUCUUUACCUCGAACUUGGAAGAUAUCCACUUCUAGAACAUCCCCAAAAGAGCAGCCGAGCUUCCAUCCUAAGUCCUUUGUUUUGUAGUGCUCCAAUAGCCCCCAAAAUUGAACCCACAUCGGGACUUGGGUGAAAUCUAGAUCUCCAAUAUGUUCGUCCUCCUUCCACCGUUUUAAGUUUAAAAUAUAAUUCUUGAAGAGCCAUGGUGCACCCCGUUCAAUUCUUAUGACAUCUUUUUCGUCUUGAAAGAAGAAUUGAAACACAUUCCCGCCAUGAUCAAUUACCUUGAAUCCUUAUGGUUGUCGCCAAAUUGCUUGCAUUGCUGGUUCUAUUGUUCCUACUGAAAACUGCUUGUCUGCCCAAAGUCUCCCCACCAAGCUUCUGAAACAUCUUUCUAACCCUACUUGAAUAUCUUUCUCCUCUACGACUAUGAUUGGGUCUUCAUCAUCCUGUUUUGUGCGUUGACCUGAAUCUGAGAAAGCAGCAUUCGCUGCCAUGAUUGUGAUCUAUGUGACACACUUGAUAAUUGAGCACGUCAAAUUGUGAAAUUAGGAUUACUUCCCAAAAACCCUAGCAGAGCACAGAAAAAACCCUAUGGGUCACUUAAAAUUUGAAAAGAUAUAUUAGGUAUUGGAUUAGUUUCAGUGACUUCUCAUUCAUUUUACACAUAAAAUAGCUCAAUUAAUAUUUUGACAUUUAUUUUAUACUAAUUUAUUUUAAUGACUUCGUACUCCAUUCGAUAGUUUAACCUUUCUCUGAAUCAUACAUUUUUGUUCUUUUUUCACUAUUCCAUAAUAGUACAUAGUACUCAAUUCUUUAUCUACUUUACUAUUCACAUCAUUAUUUCUUUGUUUUCAUAUUUGGUUAUAUGUGUCACUUAAUUCGUACAUUUUACUUGAUUUCUUUUGUGUACAAUAUCAUUAUUUAUAAUUCCAAUCAUCUAUCUUGAUUUUCUUUCAACCAAUUAUCUUAAUUGUACACCAUGAUUAUCUUUAUAUUCUUUCUCAUUAUUAUUGAUUUUUUUGUGAAAGUCAUGAUGGUUGUUCACAUUAUAAAUAUUGCCUUCUUUCAAUUUGUUUUACCAUACUAAAACAACUUUUUCAGCACCAUCAUCAAAUUAGCUUGAUUAUAUUUUUUAUUGUCUUUUUUUUUUAUUUUAAACAAUAGCUUCAUCUUUUAACUUGCUAAAGGAUAUUAAAACUGUCAACAAAAGUCAAAAUUACAGGAUAAAAGUCAAAAUCUUAAAAUUAUGGUCAAUCUCACCAAACAAUCCAAUUUAUUAUAGAACACUCGUACAUAUGUUAUUAACAUAAAAACAUUUUCUUAAUAAAUAAUUUUCAUUCAAUUUACCAUACCCGUGCAUCGCACGGGACAAUUCACUAGUAGUUAUUGAUUUCAGUGUUUAGAGUGAUUAUUUGUUGCUGGUUGCUGCUUCUUUUUUUUUCUUUCUGGCUCUAUUAAGUUGCUACAUUCAAACUUGUGCAUUGGCCUGUUCAUUUUCACUUGCAAUAACAAAAAGCUUUUCAUUUGAUGAUCCAUUAACUACCUCAUUUUCUGGUACCAUUCCUUUUGUUAUGGUUUUAGCUGAAGAAAUUGGAGGGGCUGGAUGAAGAGACAUUGAUGCCUCAGAAGACACCACCACCAUCAACACAUCCUUGUUACUUGAAGGUUUCUUUAACACAAUAGUUGAAAUCACAAUCAUAAUUACAUAAUAUGUUUAAAUAAUUAUCCAAAAAAAAAAAGAAACUCACAAGAACAUCUUGAAGUUUUGAUGAUUGAUAAAUCUUUAUGUUAGACAUUUAAUUUUUUAUAUUUCUUUUGACCGGUCCGAUUUUCUAAACCUUGCUUCUCACAAAAGUAUAUGUAUUACCACAUUGUUAUAAAAUUAUUUAAUUCGGUGACUUAUAUUAUGUGCAUACGUUAAUUAUUUAUUUAUUUUUUUACUUUUUUACAGCACACAAAUUUUUAUUAAAAAUAUAAAAAUUUAUUAAUAUAAUAUAUAAAUUUUUGUACAUAACACACAAAUUUUUAUUACAAAUAUAUUUUAUUAGUAUACAAAUUUUUUAGUCAAUGUUCUAUGUUAUAGAGCUCAAUUAAUAUUUUGACACUUAUUUUAUACUAAUUUAUUUUAAUGAAUUUGUACUCCAUUGGAUAGUUUAACCUUUCUCUAAAUCAUACAUUUUUAUUCUUUUUUCACUAUUCCAUAAUAGUACAUAGUACUCAAUUCUUUAUCUACUUUAUUAUUCACAUCAUUAUUUCUUUGUUUUUAUAUUUGGUUAUAUGUGUCACUUAAUUCGUACAUUCUACUUGAUUUCUUUUGUGUACAAUAUCAUUAUUUAUAAUUCCAAUCAUCUAUCUUGAAUUUCUUUCAACCAAUCAUCUUAAUUGUACACCAUAAUUAUCUUUAUAUUCUUCCUCAUUAUUAUUGAUUUUUUUGUGAAAGUCAUGAUGGUUGUUCACAUUAUAAAUAUUGCCUUCUUUCAAUUUGUUUUUUUUUUGUUUUUGUGACUCUUCUUUCAAUUUGUUUUACCAUACUAAAACAAUUUUUUCAGCACCAUCAUCAAAUUAGCUUGAUUAUAUUUUUUUUAUUAUCUUUUUUUUUAAACAAUAGUUUCAUCUUUUAACUUGCUAAAGAAUAUUAAAACUGUCAACAAAAAUCAAAAUUACAGAUAAAAGUCAAAAUUUUAAAAUUAUAGUCAAUCUCACCAAACAAUCCAAUUUAUUAUAGAACACUCAUACAUAUGUUAUUAACAUAAAAACAUUUUCUUAAUAAAUAAUUUUCAUUAAAUUUACCAUACCCGUGACGGGACAAUUCGCUAGUAUGAUAUAAAUCAGGUUCGGAAUAAAUCUAGCUCCUUGUUUUUAGAAAUGUUUUUAUUAGGCAAUCGAUAAAUACUAUUUAUAACAAGCAUUGAUUGAAUUUAGAGACAUACUCUAAUCAGUACUAAGCUCACCCUUUUUUUUUUGUUUUUUGCUUUUUGUUUUUUGUUUAACGUCCUAAAGGGACUAUCUCAAUCAGAAAGCUGGAAGAGUAGAUAAUGCAUACUUCUUUGGCGAUUGCAAGGCCCUAUUAAUAUAAUGAGGUGCAUGUCCCUUUUAAUUUUUGUAGCUUGAGGAGGGGAACUUAUAUACAGGAAUGUAUGAUGCUGAUUUAUCGUAUAAACAUCGAUUCACCCAAUACCUAAGUUGUUAGGGGAUACCUGUAUAUUCCCUCUGAUCAAAAUCUCAUGUUGGCUUCUGGUCAUGGAAAGAGAGAGGGAGGAUGGAGGUAAAUGUGCUUUAAUCUCAACUUUAAUUUAAAUAUAUUAAUAAAAUAUCAACUUAAUUAGCAAAUAGUCAUAUCAUAGUAUCGCUCAUUAUAUGGGGGCAUGGUGCUAGGGUGGAAAAAAACGUAACACAUGUACAUUUUUACUAAUAAUAACGCAUUUUUAUUAUAGAAUGAUAGAUGUGACCAAUAAAACAUAGAAUCUAUGUAUACACUUGAUUCAUUAAAUAGUUUGUGUGUAAUUUUAUUUACUGUAUGAUUUUUCAUGUGUAUAUUUAUCUUUUUUUCUUGAAAAUUUAAUGGGUUCUCAAAUUUAUACAAUUAUAUAUAUUAAAGUAUAUUUAUCAAAAUGUUUUAAAUUUUAAAAAAUUAAUACUAUUGAAAGAUAUCAGGCUUCUGAGCAGUGAAGCAGAAAAAAAGAGAAGGGAUAGAGAAAAAGGGAAGAGAUGAGUUGAGGUUGAGAGAGAAUCUUGAGAGUAAUUCUGGUAUUGAUUGAAUUCCAUCAUCUGGGAUUAGUUACACUGAACGAUAUAUAUAGACUUUAAGCUAACUAACUGAACGCUAAGUUGCUAACUAAUCUGAAGUCUAGUUUGGCUAAAUGCUUAACUGAAUCCUAACAGAAUUCUGAGUUCCCUGAGUGAAAGCUAACCAGAGUUCUAACUUCCUUUCUUAACUAGAGUUAAUCAUUACUCUAUCAUGCUCCCUGCUUUCAAGUUCUUCUGAUUCUUCUGCCAGUUUUAAGUCUAUUCUGCAAGUUAAUUCUGCUGCAUGACUUCCAUCUUCUAACUCUUCUAACUUCUUUCUUGUCUCCUCACUGUUGGGCUCAUUUUCUACCACAUUUAGCAACAUUCUAAACUUUAAAAAUAGAGUGCUUGGCAGUGCUUUUGUCAACACAUCUGCUAUCUAUACUGAGUCAGGAAUAUGGUUGAUGGUGACUAUCUUCUUUGUCACAUAGUUCCUGACAAAGUGAAUGUCAGUUUUAAAAUGUUUUUAUUUGGAGUGUAGAAUGGGGUUUGCUGCCAACAAGACUGCACUAAGAUUGUCACAUCAAUACAUCAAAGGAGUGGCUGGAAUGACAAAUUUCAACUCAAUCAUCAAGUUCUUGACCCAUAUCAAUUCAGCUACCAGGUCUGCUAAGCCUCUAUAUUCAGCCUCAAUGUUGGAUCUUGCCACAACAAUUUGUUUCUUUGCACUCCAACAAAUGAUAUUUUUCUCUAAGAACACACAAAAACUCCUGUAGAUUUCUAUCAUCUGGGUUACCACCCUAAUCUGAAUUACUAUAUACAGUGAUUUUCAUGGAGCUAUUCUUAUGCAGGUGUAACCCAUAGUUACAGGUUCCACUAACAUACCUUAAAAUUCUUUUCACCAGCUUCCAAUGUUCAAGUAGAGGGUUUUAAAGGAACUGUGAGACUUUGCUUACACCAUAGGCCAAUUUAGGUCUUGUAAUAGUUAAGUAUUGUAGGUUUCCUACUACUAACCGAUACGAUUUGGGAUUUUCAAAGCUGCCUCCCCCGAAUGCAGAGAACCUGACUAAUAAGGGAAGGGGAGUUUGACAAGGCUUACAUCCAACCAUUCCAACCUUGAUGAGUAAGUCCUUGACAUAUUUUUUUUGACUGAGUAGCAAUCUAUCCUUGUUAAUUUUUGAGACUUGAAUCUCCAAGAAAUAGUGCAAGUCACCCAAGUCUUUGAGUGCAAAUUUGCUGUUUAGUUGGUGAAUCACCUGAUUGAUUUAUGUGUUUGAGCUUCUUGUGAUGAUUAUAUCAUCCACAUACACCAAAACAAAAAUGUUGGCCCGUUUUGUGAACCUUGAGAAGACCAAAAUAUAUGAUUUGGUAGUAGUGAACCCUAAGUGAUUGAGCGCAGUGGAGAGCUUGUGAUACCAAGCCCUAGAUGCUUGCUUCAACCCAUACAAUGUUUUGUAAGUUUGCAGACUAAGCUUUCAUCUCCAACUUCAUAGCCCUGAGGUUGCUUCAUGUACACAUCUUCACUCAAGUCACCAUGAAGAAGUGUGUUGUUAACAUCUAAUUGGCGAAUGCUCCAUCCAUUCGCAAGUGCUGCUGUCAGGAUCACUCUUAUUGAAGUUGGUUGGACUACUGGGCUGUAUGUUUCGGUAAAAUCAAAUUUAGGUCUCUACAAGAAUCCCUGUGCUACUAACCUGGCCUUGUGUUUCUGUAAGGAGCCAUCAACAUUAUACUUGACUCUAAACACCCACUUGCUUCCAAUGACCUCUCUCCCUUGUGGCAAUGGUACCAGCUUCUAGGUUAGAUUCCUCAUUAGAGCUUCAUAUUCGUUGUCCAUGGCCUUCUUCCAUUCAGGAUAAGCCAGUGCCUCUCUGACAUUUCUUGGUUCAACUAUGGUUUGUAGUGCUCUUGGUUUGAAGAUUCCGUGUUUACUUCUUGUGAUCAUUGGAUGCAUGUUGGUGGUGCUUGGCUGAGCUGGAGCUGUAUCUGAUAUUGCAGAUAUCUCAAUUUCUAGACCAGAGAUAGGUAUUGGAAUUGGAAUGCAGGAUGGAGCUGCAGGUAUUGGUGAUGUAGGUACUGGUAGAAUGUCUAGUGAAGUAGUUUGUUGUGACAUUGGUGACAAAUAUUGAUGGUGAGGUUGCUGAGUGCUAGGUUGUGGUGUAGGUGAUGAUAUUUGGCUAGGUAAGGUUGAGAGAUUUAAGCAUUGUGUGGGGGAGUUAGGCUAUAAGGCUGAAUUGUUAGAAGAUGUAGUUGGGUUUAGAUUGGUACCUGAUGAAGGUUGGUGCUCUUAGGAUAAGACUCUUGGUAGAAGAGGUAUUCUUGGUGGAACAUGGUUGUUGGUUUCUGAGUGAUCUUUUUCUGAUAGAGUGAUAAAGGAUUUUUCUUCUUUGAACAGGAAUCUAUUUUCAUAAAAAAUUCAAUCUCUAGUUAGCACUAUUUUACCACUUUGAGUAAGGCAUUUCUACCCUUUAUGAGCUGAACUAUAGCCAAUGAAUACGGAAGGGGCAGAACGAAAGUCUAGUUUAUGCUUAUUGUAGGGUCUUAGAUGAGGGAAACAGAGGCAACCAAAGACUUUUAGGCUAUCAUAAUUUGGCCUCUUUCCGAAAAGCUUCUCCAUGGGUGAACAAUUCCCAAAAGUUGGUGUAGGGAGUUGGUUGAUCAAGUUUAAUGCUGAUGCAAAAGCUUCUGCCCAGUACUUAGUAGACAUACCAGCUCCAGCAAGCAUUGCAAGUCCCUUUUCUACUACAUGUCUGUUCUUUCUCUCUACUGUGCCGUUUUGUUGAUACACACAAGGGCAGGAAAAAUCUGUGUACGACUCCCUGUGCCUGCAAUUCUUUGGACAAACUAGUGUAUUCAGCAACAUUAUCACUUUGUAGCAUUUUCAGUUUUAUAUCUAGUUGCAGCUCAACCAUAUGUUGGAAAGAAUUAAAUACUAAUUUAAGCUGAGAUCUUGCUUUAUAGCCAGGUAAAUUUUGAAUACGCAUCAAUAAACAAAACAAAGUAGUAAUUCCAUUAGUGUCAGGGGUGGGGGCAGGACCCCAAAUAUCAUAAUACACUAAUUGCAAUGGUGCUGUGUAUGAAAAAUCAGAUACAGAAAAAGGUAGCUAGUGUGACUUUCCUAUACAAUAUGCUUCAUAAGAUGACUUAUUUGAAUCAAGAUGAAUAUUACAAGACUUUAGAAUAGUUGACACUACACUAUUGGAGGCAUGGCCCCCACCCUAUUGUGCUAGAGCAAGAAGUUGUCCUUGCUGCACAUUGUUGAAGCAUAUGCAGACUUGAUGGAAGGUUUAAAAUUAAGGAAUUUGUACAUUCCAUUUUCAACUUCUCCCUGGAUAACUACUUCACUGGUUCCCUGGGUUUUGACACAGCAUUUAUUAGAGUGAAACUCAAAGAACAUAGCAUUGUCACAACAGAAUUGAUAGACACUCAACAAGUUUUUAGUGAUAUCGGGUACAUAAAGCAGUUUUUGUAGAAUAACUCUCUAUUACUUAAAUCAGAUUUCAAGAUAGAUUUUUCAACAAGGUUAAUUUACAAAUCUGAAUCGUUUCCUACAAUUACUUGAUCUGAUCCUUCAUAGGCUUCUCCUUCCAUCAGAUUAUGUUGGUCUGGUGUUAUAUGAUAGGUUGCUUCUGAAUCCAGGUACCAAUUUGGGUCAUGGAUGGUGGAUGGAGUUGCAAGCAGUGCCUGAGGUGGCUGAAGGGAUUGACUUGCUUGUGCGUUUUGUGAAAUUUGCAUCAUACUAGAUCUUGAACUAGCUCCAUAGUUGCUGUCCCUUUCGUACCUAUAUCAGCAGUUCUUGGCACACAGAUUUUUCGUUGUUCACCAUUCUUCCAUUAUUUGUCUCAUUAAUUUGCACAAAUCUUGGAUUUUCAUUGUAGUCCCUCUGUAUGAAUAUUGAGUUGUCAUUGUAUUGUGUAGCUAAUUUUGGUGCAUUGGUGUAGUAAUGGCUUGAUUUUGAGCAGUUUUGAAAAUUGCCAUUCUGAAAGUUGCCAUUCUGAAAAUUACUGUUCUGAAAAUUUUCAUUUGCAUAUCCUCCAUGUGACCUUCCAUAUUGUUCAUUAUUUUGAAAUAGUUCAGAGUCGAACCUGCUAUUGUCAUUAUAAGAGAAUCUUCCUCCUCUGCCUGAUCUUCCACCUCAAUUUCGGAAGUCUCCACCUCUGAAUCCUCCUCUAAAUCCUCCUCGCGUAUGAGCAAGAUUAGCUUGGAUGAACGAUUCUGGUUUCCUGAAUCUUUCAAGCAUGCUUUCGUGUGUCAAGAGUAGAACUUCAAAUUCUCCAACUGUAAUGCUUACCGGUCUUGCAACUACUGAUGUGAUUACAGAUCUAUACUCUUCUGUUAGCCCGUUCAGAAUUGCGUUCACGUGAUCACUCUCUCUCAUUGGUUCUCCAACAGAUGCCAACGCAUCUAUGGUUCCUUUCAACACAAGUACAUAUUCGUUUAUUGAAUUUCCAAUCUUGAUAGUGCUUAAUUUGUGUUUCAAUUGUAUGAUCUUUGCUCUAAUUUGAGAAGUGAAAUGAUCAUCCAAGCAUUUUCAUACCUCAUAUGCGUAUACACAUCCUACCAUUCUAAUGGUGAAUGGCUUUGUCAUCGAGGCCAGAAGCCACGAUUUCAGCAAAGCGUCCUAUCGCUUCCAUAUUGCAAAUUCUGGAUUCACUUCACCAUUUUCUUUGAAUCUUACUGGUAUUCUUUCUCUGAUUAUGUGAUGUAGCAAGUUGUGCCCUUCAAUUGUAGAUUCAGCCUGGUCUUUCCAUUGUAGAAAAUUAUCCUCAUCGAGCUUCAUUGAGAUUGGAGAUGUUGUGAAAUUUGGUCGCUGCAAGUUCUGAUACCAUGAAAGAUAUUAGGCCUCUGAGCAGUGAAGCAGAGAAAGAAGAUAAGGGAGAGAGAAAAGGGAAGAGAAGAGUUGAGGUUGAGAGAGAAUGUUGAGAGUAAUUCUGGUAUUGAUAAUUGAAUUGUGUCAACUGGGAUUAGUUACACUGAAUUAUAUAUAUAGACUUUAAGCUAACUAACUGAAUGCUAAGUUGCUAACUAAUUUGAAGUCUAACUUGACUAACUACUUAACUGAAUCCUAACAGAAUUCUAAGUUUCCUGAGUGAAAGCUAACCAGAGUUCUAAAUUCCUUUCUUAACCAGAGUUAAUCAUUACUCUAUCAAUUAUGUUAUGGUAUUAGAGUUUUUAUAAUAAAAAAGUGUAGAUUUUGAUUCUUGUUAUUUUCCUGUAAACAAGGUUCAAGAAUAGCUAGAUCAAGUCUCAAAACCUUGCUGAGAAAGAAGACUUGAGUCUCAAGAAAGAGAAAAAGAAUUUGAAAGAGAAAUAGAAUUGUGAAUGAAUUGAAUUCUAUUAAAAACAGAACGUGAUUUUCUUGUUCUUUGCAUGCAGAGACCAUAGCUCUAUACAUAUGAGGAUUACAUAAGAGUGAGGGAUCAUGUACAUGUAUGCAUACACUACGUGACUUCACCAACUUGAUUGUUCUCUACACUCCCCCUUCAAACUGAGGGUUAUUUGGGGUAACACUUUCAGUUUGAUGUACAUGUAUGCAUACACUACGUGACUUCACCAACUUGAUUGUUCUCUACACUCCCCCUUCAAACUGAGGGUUAUUUGGGGUAACACUUUCAGUUUGACCAUAAAUUGCACAAACAUGAAUUUAGCCAUUUAGGGAGGGCUUUGGUCAAAAUGUUAGCGAUAUGAGAGUGAGAUGAUAUAUGACCCACAUGAAGAAGUCCUUUGACAACGCGAUCACGAACAAAAUGAAGGUCAAUUUCGAAGUGUUUGCUUCCAUUAUAAAGAACCGGAUCGGCAGCCAGUGACGCAACUCCAAGGUUGUCAAAAAAAAAUGGUUGGGACAAGGGAACAUGAACACGAAGUUCAGAGAGAAAUUUCUGGAUCCAUGUGAUUUCUGCAACAACUUUAGCUAAGCAGCGAUACCCAGUUUCAGUGGAGGACCUCCAUGUAAAGCACCAGAAGGUAAAAAAUUAAAUUUAAGAUGGAAGAAAUAUAGUAAGGAGUUUCCAAGUCUUUCAGAGAGAAAUCUGAGUUUAGUUGGACAAUUAAUUUUUCUAAUUCAUCAUUGUUAUCACCUGUUAGGAUAAUAUCAUCAAAAUAAGCAAGUAAAUAGAUGUUAGAAUUAGAUGUAAAAUGAGUAAAAAGAGAAGUGUCAACACGAGUGUUAGUAAAAUCAAGGUUAAAGUGAGUGGUACUUAGUUUUGUGAACCAGGUUUUAGGAGCCUUUUUCAAGCCGUAUAAGGUUUUAUUCAAUUUACACACCAUAUCAGAUUUGGAAUAAAGGCUAGGAGGAAGUUCGUUGCAUAUAUACAUCUUCACAAAGUUCAUUAAAAAAGCAUUUAUAAAGUCGAAUUGGCAAAGAUAACCUUUUGGACAGAGCCAACGAUAGAACAAUUCGGAUAGUAGUGGAUCUUAGUCUUUAUUGAAAACAGAAUGUGGUUUCCCUGUUCUUUGCAUUCAAAGAUUAUAGCUCUGUAUAUAUGAGAAUUACAUAAGAGUGAGGGAUCAUGUAGAUGCAUGCAUACUCUACGUGACUUCAUCACUAACUUGAUUACUCUUUAAACCUCCUGAAAAAAAAAAGAGCAUAAAAUAAAUAAAUAAAUAAAAAGUUUAUGCGAAAUUUACGUAAAUUCAAAAAUUUUUUUGAAAAAAUAUGUUAGAGAUAUAACUAUUUAUGUAACUUUUCUAUUCGUUUAAAUUUUUAGAAAGAAUGAUAUUAUGAUAAAUUUUGAAUUUUAAAUGUAAACUAAAGAAAAAAAAGACAUAUAAACUAAUUUUUAAUGGCACAUAUAUGUAUGAAACUUAUUUUUCUUUUUAAAUGAAAAGAGACUAUACUCAAUACAAUGUUUUAAAAAAAUAAAAAAAAUAGAAUUUAACUAAAAUAUGAACUGAUAUAAAGACCACAUUGUUAAAAAGAAUGAAAAUAUAAAAAAUACAAAUUAUUAUAUGCUGAUUGGAGUGUAAACACCUUGGUCACUUUGGUCCAUUCCUCUAUCUUUUGGGUGUUCCCUCUUAAUUAUGAACAAUCAAAUUGUCCGUAGAAAAAACCCAACGCCAACCAUAUCUUCUGAAUGUUGAUGUUAUCCGUUAAAUUUCAAUGUCAUUAUUAAAGCAUAUGUAGUGAAUCCCUAUACGACAUGACAUGCAUUGAAACCUAGCCAACGAUGUUUGUAAACUUGAAGCUAAGCUGCGUUCAUUGGAGAAAAAGUUAAUUAGCCGACUCAUCAAUAAAUUAAUGCAACCAUGGUUUUAAUGAAUUCGUUGCAUGGUAACUAAAUUGGCAGCGUAUUCCGUUGUGUUUUACAGACUUCAACCUCCUCCACCAAAAAAUAAUUAUAAUAAAAUCAAUAUAUACAUAAAAGUCAAAGUCAAAACCCUAAAAUCCAUCAAAAACAAAUUUUCUGAGUUAUCUCCCACAACUUUUUAGUAAAUUAGUUUAUACACUUUUUAUUCAAAAGAUUUUGUAAAUAGCUUUCUCAAGAAGUUCCCAUCAUAGGUAGAUAUCACCAUCAACCAACUCCAUCUCUCAAAUAUCUUCCUUUUUGUCUCAUUUCUUUUUUAAAUUCACGACGGUUUAACAUUGACACUUUAAUAAAUUGACGGAAAAGGAGAAAAAAAAAAAACUAUUCAAAAAGGAGGGGAAAAAGUUAAAAUGGAUAAUAAAUGAACGUAUAUGGCAAGUACAAAAAAAUAUAAUGAAAAAUGUAGGAGGCGAGAAAGCCCUUCAUCACAUCAUCGUGUUAAUGAAAUUGGACCCACCAGUUAGUUGUGCAUGAUUGAAUAGUAGUUAUUAAUUUUUAACCAAAAGUUAGAUGAAAUAAAUUUUGGCACAAAUGAUAUUGAACAUAAUUAAUAGCAUUUUAAUGAUUGACUUGAGAAAAAGUAUAUCUUAUAUCAAAAUACGGUAAUAAUAUUAAUGAGACAAAAAAUUAAAUAAAUUUAAAUAUUUUUUUGUUAAUUUUUUUGGUUAUCAAAUAUUUUUUAUCAAACUAUAAGUAAUGUAAUUAUUUAGUUUAAAAUUUCAUUGGUGUUAUUUUUGUUUAUUUAUAAAGUGAUACUGAAGUAAUUUUAUACAAGUGUGAUGUUAUAUUUAAUAAUGUUUUAUUCGCAUACUCUUUUAUUAUAUUGAAAGCGUAUUUUAAACAAGUCUGAAAUUACGUUAAAGAUUAUCUUCAUAAAAUUUUAUUUAAAAAAAAAUUGUUUGAUAUAUGUCAUAAUAUUAUUAUUUUUUUAAAAGAUUAGUCUGCUAAAAAAAAUAUAUAAAUGAUUAUAUUUUUAUUAUAUUCUUUAACUCGAAUUUUUUUAAGUUUAUUAUGAGAGGGAGAGGGUGAGAGAAAGAGUUAGUAUUAACUUUUAUAUUCCACAAUUGGGUGACUAUUUAUAUAGCGUCAAUUCUAUGGUGCCUUUUGUUUGGUGUUUAACUUUUGCCUAAAUUACUUUUUAUAGUAACUUUAAAAUAUUUAAAAUUUUUUAACUUUUAUAUUUUUAAAUUUAAAAUUGAUUAUUUUAUUUAUUUUAGUAAUUAGGCCAUAGUUUUUAGGUAUCAUAGCAAACACCUUUAUAUAGUUCCACAGUUGGUUACCAAAUGAUGAACUAGGCAUCUAUGAAAGAUGGAGUUUUAAAAGGACCAAUAUAUGAAAAAUUGUGUAGUCUCUCUUGUAAAUCAAGAAAUUGAUUUUGCAUGUCUAACAAAUGCAAAAGGGUCUCCAUUUCAGAUUGGGUCAGUUCAACGGACUGCGGGAAAUUGAAGUAAAAUUAUUAUUAUUAUUAUUAUUAUUAUUAUUAUUUUUAGUUAAUGGAUGACUUAAAGGAAAAGAAAACACAAUUACUAUUACUAUUCAAAUUCAUGGCAAUUGUUUAGUUAAGCGAGCUCAUUCUUCCACGUGAUUAUUAAGGUUAUAAACAACUUCGUCAGAGUGCAACAUGAAUGUGAAGAAUGCUACUUGGUGCUGAAGAAUUCUCCACCUCUAUGGUUGGUUUGAAAUUGAUGAGGAUAAGUUAACAUAUUCACACACACAUAGGUUAAACCUUAAACCGAUCUAUUUUAAGAAAUUAGAAAAAAAGUGUAAGAAUUUCUUAGCUACCUCAAGAGCAAAUGAAAAUUUUGUUCUAUUUUAUUUAUGUUGUGAAUUUGUGAUACAUCAAUAAUUUAAGUCAUUUUUAUUUUUAAAUUAAAAAAAAAAAGACGCAUGUUAUUUGAAAUUUGAACUAACGCUUCUUCACGUGAAUUUGACUUCACCUGAGUUUCUACCAUAUAUAAAAUAGAACAAAAAUUGUCAUUUAUACUCUUGGAGCAUCUAAUAUAAGAAAAAUCCUCAAAAAAUUGUUGGAAGGUCUUUAAUUUAUAUAUCUUUCUUUUCUAAGUUCUAUAUUUUAGUUAGUAUAAUUUUUAGUGUUAAAUACAAAAAUGUUACUUUACUUUUUAAUAUGUGUUUUAUUGUUAAUAAUUAUAUAAAAUCAUGCUUUUUAUUUCUAUCAUUUCUUCAUACAUUUUUAUGAAACAAAUAAUAUUAAUGAUAUAGUAUUUUUAUAGAAUAAUAAUAUUACUCAUUUUUAUAAUUAAUAUAAAUAUUGAUAAAAUGGUAUUUUCUAAAUAAAGGUAUUGACCAUCAGCGACAUCAUACACAGAGAUAAUCUAGAAGCUUAGUAUUGUAAGGAGCAGAACAAAUUAAAACUACAAAAAUAAUUACAACGUAUAUAAUUCAUUUAAAAGAUUGAAAUGAGAACAAAAAUAAUUAAAAAAAAUAAAAGGUACAAAAGAAUUUUUGAAAGAUUUAACAGUUUAAGAGAAUAAUAGCUAUGCUUUUUUAUUGAAAGUGCUGUUGUGGCAAGCACGGAUCUUAUGUAGUAAGUUGACAAAGUAGUUUUUAUAUAUUAUUUUUAGUAAAGGAUUUUUUUGGUUCUCCACAGGUUUCGAUGGAUUCUUAAUUUGGUUUCUAAUGCUUUAAGUGUUCUCUUUUAAUUUUAAAAAUUUUUAAACGUCUUAUUUUAAUCUAAAAAAAAUCAAGCGAGUUUAAUAUUAUCUAAUUAUUAAAUUUGAUACAAACAAUUCGUAUAUCAAUGAGUUAAUAACGCUCAAUUUCAAUAUGUAAGUAAAAUUAAUCUACUAACGAUCAUCAAUGUAAAAGUUUUUCUUUUAAUUUUAGAAUAUUGAUGAUUGAUCGUUAGGGCGACGGUCACCAUGAGCAGCUUGCUGCAAUUACGCAAUCUUUGGCAUUGAUCCAAGUCUAACUCGCCUAGAAGUUGAAAGAAUGAUGAAGGUUAAAUUUGGUUUAAAAUUUCACAAAUUUAAAAACUUGAAUUCGUUGUAAGCAUAGUCCUAAAUCGGCAAAUAACCCUAUUAAAGUUUAAAAAUUGUCACAAUUUAGAUCAAAUAACCGAAAUUUUUAAAUCUCGGAUUAUUCUCCCACAAAAUUGCAGUCGUGUGUGCAUAUCAUUAACUAUGAGAGAAUUGGGGGGUAAGAGCAAUAAACAAGAAUUUAAAUAGCAAGAAAGUAAAAUAAUUAACUAAACAUCAAAGGAAAUUAAACUAAAAGCAAUUAGAACAAAAGAAGGAAAAUUCAGAUGCUAAAAGAAAUCUUGGCUAAGGGUUGAGUUAAAGAUCACUAUCCUAUUCAUUGACCACAAAUAUAGUAAUUAUGAAGAGUUAAUCCCAUUUAGUCAAGGCCUAAAUAUUGGGAGAAAAUAAAAUAGGCAUAAUUAAUUUUAAUCCACAAAUCCUAACCAACUCACUAAUUAGGCUUAGUGAAAGGAUAGCGUUAGUGGAAACAAAAUCAACUAACAACCCUAAAUUAUCAAUUAAUAUUGGACAUCAAUGACUUAAGGUCACCUAAAUUCUCAAUCCCAAGCCAAGAAUGUAAAAUCUACUCUAAAACUAAAGAAGACUUUUUAUCAAAUAUUUAGAAGGCAUAUAAACAAAGCAUCAUAAAUUGUAUGAAUAAUAAAAUCUAUAACUACUAAAUUCAAGAAAACUAUAAUAACAAAUCAAUUAAACAUCAAGAAAGCAUAUAAACAUCAAAUUGCAUUAAAGAAAAGUAAGAAUUUAACAAUUAUAUUGUUCAUAAACUAAAAUUAGCGAAAUCGAGAAGCUAACAAGUAAAACUCAACAAAUUAAGAUGCUAGAACAAGAAAAUAUAAAGAAAAUUAAACUAAAACAAUGAUCAAAACCUAAAACUAAGAAUAAAUUAAACUAAGAAACCUAAAAUUCUAGAGCUUCUCUCUCUAGAAUUAUCCUAAAAUAUCAUACUAAACUAUUACUAUACUACUUCUACACUACUCGGUUGGUCCCCUUUGAAUUCUUGCUUCAAAUGCUUUAGAAAUGAGUUGGCUUGGGCCCAAAAUGGGCUUCAAAUCGCGAGCCACGUAUUAACUUAAGUGAGUCACGUGCUGCAAGUCGUGUGUAUGCACAGGCCAUGCGUAUGAAUGAAUUGAAGGAGAUGCAUAUGCCCAAGCCAUGCGUAUGCACAAUCUAGAAAAUGUCCAAUCUUCAUUUCUUCAUGAAUUCUCUACUUUAGCAUGCUUUUCCUUUAUUCUUCCAAGCCAUCCUUGCCUUCUAACCCUUGAAUUACUCAAACAAACAUAUCAAGGUAUCGAAUGGGAUAAAAGUGAAUCAAAUUUGACAAUUUAAAGUAUAAAAAGUAUGUUUUUAAUAAUUAAGCAUAAUUAUGGAGAAAUUCACAAAAGCAUGCAAUUUCAAGAAAUAAAUGCAAGGUAAGUUGAUAAAAUUUACUCUCUUCAAGCCAACAAUAAUCGUAAAAUAUGAAUUUAUCAAAGAACUACCACGUAUGUCAUUGCAGCACUCUGCCUUCACACCAUCUCAAUGCAUGAAGGUGGAUUUUCCGUGCUUUUUGGCAGGGAUGAUGUCUUGCAAUGGAUCUUUCAAACUGAGCAUUUCUUCCGAAUCUAUGAUAUUCCAGAGAUUCAAAAGUUGGAUAUCAUUACUGUGAGCUUAGAAUGGAGGGCUUUGACUUAAUUUAUCUACUACUAUUGAGAUUUAAUUUGGACCUUCUCAGUUUAAAAAUCCUAGGAAGGAAUUGUUUAAGUUGAAAUAAUCAUCAUCUGUUAGAAACUACUUUGAGACUUUCAAUGAUUUGGCUGCAAGAACAUAUGAUUUAGAUGACACUUUGUUGCUUGAUUAUUUUAUUGGUGGGUUGAAUCUUGAACUGAAAAGGGAAGUUAAAUCUAGAUGUCCUGCGUGUGUCUAAUAAAAGCUGUUUCUCUUACCAAAUUAUUUGAGGAAAAAUUUUUGCCACACACCCAGCGCUGGCGUUCUCCUUCUAACUAGCUCCAACAAUCGAUUUCAAGACCAGCCCCUACCACACCAUUUGAACCAAAUGCCUCUAACCCAUCCGCUUCACCACAACAGCAGAAUACACCAUUAUUAUCCACACCGCCCAAAGCCACAGCUUUACGCGAACUAACUCCUACUAAAUCCAAUUUAGAGGAAAGAAGGGUCUUUCCUUUACUUGUGAUGAGCAAUUUUUGUCCAGCCACAAGUGCACAGUCAAGUACUAUUUCAUUAUUUAGACCAUGGAAGAAGUUCCCAAUGAGGUUCAAUUAUAGAAGAAAUGAGGUCAUUCAGCGACUAGAAGACAUUUCGGCAGUGGAUUCUGCCAAAUGCUCCACUUAUCAUAUAAUGUUUUGACUGGAAUUCCUAUCAAAAGGUCCAUUCGAUUUUGGAGAAUAGUUUAAGGAUGGAAAUUUCGAGUUCUCAUGGAUGGAGGUAGCUUCGACAAUUUCAUACACCUUGCUUUAACUAGUGCCUUACUAUUCCAAUUCACCAUGCUCCAUAGUUUAAGUUGCAAGGAAGAAGUGGUGAUCUUUUACAAUGUGAAGGAGAAGUCAGGGACGUUCUGAUGAAUAUUCAGGGACAUACAUUGUUUAUUAGUGCAUUUGUGCUACCUACAGCCACAAAGGAGUUGGUGCUAGGGGACAUUUGGUUGGAGAUGUUAGAUACUCAUAUUGUGAAUUAUAAAAAAUAUUUAUUAUGUUCAUAGACGGUGACUAGUUGGUGACCUUGCAGGGUGAAGUUAGCCAGCUCCCGGUGUAAGCCCAAUUCAACCAUCUCAAACGCUUGCAAACCACUAAUGAAAUUUGGAAACUCUAUACAUUGCAGCUAAGGGAAACUGCAGAGACUCCACUGCCAUAUUUAAUUUACCUAGUGAUAUUGGAUCUGAACUUACUUUGUUGUUACACACUUAUUGGGAGGUCUUUAGCACUCCACAUGGCCUAUCUCCUAUUUGUACACACGAUCAUAGAAUUCAGCUCCAGUCAAAGUUUGGCCAUAUCGGUACUCGUAUAGUCAGAAAAUUGAUAUUGAAAAAAUUGUUAGCGAAAUCUUGGCUGAGGGUAUUGUUUGGCUUAGCACAAGUCCAUUUUCAUUCCUAUUUCUGCUUGUUAAAAAGAAGGGUAGUUCUUAGAGGUUUUGUACGAAUUAUAGGACCUUAAUGGCCGUCACGGUUAAGGCCUCUUUCCCCAUGCCAACCGUGGAUGAACUUCUUGAUGAACUUUUUGGCGCCCAAUACUUCUCCAAGUUGGAUUGAUAAACCACAAUUUUAUGGUUUAUUUUGUAUUGUAUUUGGUGGAUUUUGUCAACUUUUCUCCAUUUAUCCACUAAAAUAGCAUGGUUUUGUAAUUCUCCCUAAUUUGUGCUUAAUGAUUGAAAACAUGCUUUUUAGGCUUUUAAAGUGCUAAAUUUAAUUCACUUUUCUCUCAUUCGAUGCCUUGAUAUAUUUGUUGAGUGAUCUCAGUAUUUAUAAGGUAAGGAUUGGAUGAAAGAAGUGAAGAAAAAGCAUGCAAAGUGGAAAACUCAUGAAGAAAUGAGCAUUUGGAGGAUUCAGAGCGACGCGUACGCGUGAUCCACGCAUACGCGUGAGGAGGAAAUCUGCUAGGCAACGCGCAUGCAUCACCCACGCGCACGCGUGACGUUGGUCAUAUAAUCUCAUUAAAGUGAAAACGCUGGGGACGAUUUAUGAGCCAUCCAGGCCCAAAUCCAACUCAUUUCUGAAGCUAUUAGAGGCCAAAUUCAAGGAGGAUCAAAGGGAGAGCAAUUAGUGUAGUGUAGGAACAUGCUUUAGGUUAUAUUCUAGAGAGAGAAGCUCUCUCUUCUCUCUAGAAUUAGGGUAGAAUUAGGUUAGAUUUUUCUUAGAUUUAUGUUUAAUUCUUUUUUUCAUUUACUUUUCCUUGCAAUUUAUCGUUCUUGCAUCUUUGUUCCUUUAGUUCUACUUGUUAUUUCCUUUUAUUUGUUGCCUUUAUGUUCAUGCACUCUUGUUGAUUUUAAUUUCAUUUAAUGAAAUUUAUGUUUUCAUGUUAUUAUUGCUUUCUUUAGUUGUUAUUGUUGAUUUCUUGCAUUUGGUAGUCAUAGAUUUUAUAUUCUUGCUAUUUUAACAUGCUUUCCUUUUUAUGCCUUCCAAGUGUUUGAUAAAAUGCUUGGUUGGUUUUUAGAGUAGAUUUUGGUACUCUUAGCUUGUGAUUGAGGACUUAGGUCCCUUGAGAUUAUUGAUGUCCAGUUUUAUUGGUGAUUUAGGAUUGUUAAUUGGUUCUAGGACCAAUUAUGUCCACUUGACUUUCCUUCAAUUGUUAGAGGAUAACUAAGUGGAAUUAAUCCUUUGUAAUCACCAUGUUGUGGUCAAUGGUCCAAGAUAGGAGCCCUUAACUCUUGAUCCUUGCCAAGACCCAUUUUAGUGUUAGUUUUACUUUCUUGUCAUUUUUAUUUUCUUGUCAAUCAAACCCAAAACCCCCAAAAGAUACAUCAUAACCAAUAAUAUGCACACUUCCUUGCAAUUCCUUUGAGAGACGACUCAAGGUUUAAAUACUUCGGUUAUUUUUAUUGGGUUUGUACUUGUGACAAACAAAUUAAACUUUGACUGAGGAUUGUUUGUCGGUUUAGAUCUAUACUUCGACGAGAUUAUUUUUGUGAAAUUCUAUACCGAUGAUUAUCCCACAUCAUGGAUUUGCGAGCUGGUUAUCACAAGAUAAGAGUGAAACCGGAGGAUUGCUUUAAGACAGCAUUUCGCACCCACCAAGGCUUAUACGAAUGGCUUGUGAUGCCUUUUGGCUUGACCAAUAUGCUGGCGACUUUCCAAAGUCUCAUCAAUUCGAUUUUUGAGGCUGUCUUAAGAAAGUUUGUCUUGGUUUUUUUAUGAUAUUCUUGUUUAUAGCCCAGAUUGGCAGUCUUACUUCCAGCAUUUAAGAUAUAUGCUGUCCAUUUUAAAAGAAAAUGCCUUGUUUGCUAAACUCUCAAAGUGUUCAUUUAGACAAACGCAUGUUGAUUAUUUGGGCCAUGUGGUUUCUAGAGUAGGGGGGUCGUGUAGAUGACUCGAAGAUACAAGCUAUUUCACAAUGGCCUACUCCCACCUUUCUCAAGCAGUUACGUGCUUUCUUUUGUCAUGCUAGUUACUAUUAUAAAUUUAUCAAACAGUUUACUAUUUUAGCAGCCACUCUAACUGAUCUCCUCAAGAAGGAUAACUUUGUUUGGUCCCCAAGAGCAAUGACAGCAUUCUAAUGAUUGAAGGAAGCCCACUCCAAGGCACCUGUUUUGGUUUUGCCGGAUUUUUCGAAGCCUUUUGUGUUGGAAACAGAUGCGUCAGGCACAGGAAUUGGUGCUAUUUUGAGUCAUGCCGAGUACCCCAUCGCUUAUUUCUCAAAAAAUCUCUCGAGCAUAGCUCAAUCUCAAUUAGUUUAUGCGCAGAAAAUGUAGGCUAUUAUCACCGCAGUUACUAAGUUCCGUCACUACUUGCUUGGUUAUAAGUUUGUGAUCCAGACAUACCAUAAGAGCUUGAAAGAAUUGCAGGCGCAAAUCAUUCAAACACUAAAGUAGCAGGUUUGGCUAGCCAAGCUAUUGGGUUAUAAUUUUACAAUCGAAUAAAAGAAGGGUAGCGACAACUAAGGGGCAGAUGGGCUGUCGUGUUCAUUCAUGCAGCUGACUAGGGUGGAUUAGGCGCUCUUAUCCCUUGCUGCAACAGGAGCUUCAAACAUAUCGUCCUGAAUCAGAUUUUGCAAAGGCUGAAAUGCAUUCAAGGAGGUUAUAAUUCAGACAUGGUUUAUGGUUUUGGAAUGAUAGACUCGUGAUUCCAGCUUCUUCUUCCUUGAUUGAGAACUUGUUGAAAGAAGGCCAUGUUUCCAUUAUUGGGGGACAUGGGGUUGUGCAGAAAAUGCUGUCUCGCUUAGCAACCCAAUUUUAUUGGAAGGACAUGGCUAAAUCAGUUAAAGACUACGUUUGAACUUGUCCCAUUUGUCAGCAGGCCAAGUAUAGCAUGCAACCACCUACUGACUUGUUAGAACCUCUUCCCAUUCCAUUACAGAUUUGGCUGGAUCUUUUGAUGGAUUUUAUCACUGGUUUGCUCGUGGCACAUGGUUGUUUUGUAAUCCUAGUGGUAGUGGACUGUUUGUCCAAAUUUCCACAUUUCAUUCCCCUCCCGAUAGAUUUCACACACCCAAAGUGGCAGAAGUCAUUGUAAGGUAUGUGGUUAGCGUCCAUGACAUGCCUCAAUCAAUUGUUUAAGACCAUGACAAAGUCUUCACAAGCAUAUUUUGGGAACAAUGCUAUAAGCAGCAAAGUAUACUAUUGGCUCGAAGCUUGACAUAUCACCCGAAAUCCGAUGGCCAGAUGGAGGUACUAAAUAAGUGUCUUGAGAUAUAUUUGCGGUGCUAUACUUAGGAAAAUUCUAAGGCAUGGUAUAAGCUUUUUCCAUGGACGGCUUAUAGUUAUAACACAUCCUUCCACUCAGCUAUCGGUAUGAUGCCUUACAAGGAAGUAUUUGGGAAGGAUCCUCUACCCCUACUAUGUUAUGACCCACACCCGAAUGACCCUCCAAUGUUGCAAGAGCAUCUACAGUUAACAGAUGUGGUGUUGACAACCUUAAAACAAAAUUUACACAAGGCACAAGCAAGAAUAAAAGCUCAGGCAGAUAGCAACUGAAGAGAGUUAGAGUUUAAUGUGGGAGAUUUUGUCUAUGUGAAAUUACAGCCUUAUAGGAAGCACUCCAUGGCGCUGAGGAAGUAUCCAAAAUUGUCCAUGCGUUAUUUUGGACCAUUUUCAAUAAUUGCUCUAGUUGGGAAUGUAGCAAACAAGUUAGAACUCCCUAACUCAGCUAGAAUUCACCUGGUCUUCCAUAUCUCUCUACUAAAGAAGUGUGCAGGGGUCUCUACUCCAGCAACCAUUCCAUCUUUGCUGCUGUUAGAUGAGAGAGGGUGCCAACUAUAACUACAUGCGAUUUUGGGACACCGCGUGAUUAAAAGGGAUGGAAAUUGGAUCGAGGAAGUUCUGAUUCAUUGGCAAAAUUCAUUGAUGAGCGGAUAAUUUAUACGCUUUUUGGCAUUGUUUUUACAUAGUUUUCAGUAUGAUUUAGUUAGUUUUCAGUAUAUUUUUAUUAAUUUUUAAAUAAAAUUCACAUUUCUGGACUUUACUAUGAGUUUGUAUAUUUUUCUGUGAUUUCACGUAUUUUCUGGCUGAAAUUGAGGGAGUUGAGCAAAAAUCAGAUUCAGAGGUUGAAGAAGGACUGCAGAUGUUGUUGGAUUCUGAUCUCUCUGCACUCAAAGUAGAUUUUCUGGAGCUACAAAACUCCAAAUGAUGCGCUCUUAAUUGCGUUGGAAAGUAGAUAUCCAGGGCUUUCCAGAAAUAUAUAAUAGUCCAUACUUUGCUCGAGUUUAGAUGACGCAAACUGGCAUUCAGCGCCAGUUCCAUGCUGCAUUCUAGAGUUAAACGCCAGAAAUAGGUUGCAAAGUGGAGUUAAACACCAGAAACAGGUUACAAACUGGCAUUCAACUCCAAGAGAAGCCUCUACACGUGUAAAGCUCAAUGCUCAGCCCAAGCACACACCAAGUGGGCCCCGAAAGUGGAUUUCUGCAUCAUUUACUCAUUUCUGUAAAUCCUAGUAACUAGUUUAGCAUAAAUAGGACUUUUUACUAUUGUAUUUACAUCUUCGGAUCAUUUUUAGUCUUGGUUCUCCUGGUUCCCUCUCUGGGGCCGAGACCAAUGAACUCCAUUAUCACUUAUGUAUUUUCAACGGCAGAGUUUCUACACACCAUAGAUUAAGGUGUGGAGCUCUGCUGUUCCUCAUGAAUUAAUGCAAAGUACGAUUGUUUUUCUAUUCAAUUCAAGCUUAUUCCUUCUCUAAGAUAUCCAUUCGCACCCAAAAACAUGAUGAAUGCGAUGAUUAUGUGACGCUCAUCAUCAUUCUCAAUUAUGAACGCGUGCUUGACAACCACUUCCGUUCUACAUGCAAACAAGCUAGAAUGAGUAUCUCUUAGAUAUCUAAUACAGGGGACCGAGUCCGAGAUAUUAGAAUCUUCGUGGUAUAAGUUAGAACCCAUGGACGGCCAUUCUUGAGAUCCGGAAAGUCUAAACCUUGUCUGUGGUAUUCCGAGUAGGAUCUGGGAAGGGAUGGCUGUGACGAGCUUCAAACUCGCGAGUGCUGGGCGUACUGACAGACGCAAAAGGAUAGUAAAUCCUAUUCCAGUAUGAUCGAGAACCGAAAGAUGAUUAGCCAUGCAGUGACAGCGCAUUGGACUAUUUUUACAGAGAGGAUGGGAUGUAGCCAUUGACAACGGUAAUUCCCUACAUAAAGCUUGCCAUGAAAAGGAGUAUGAAUGAUUGGAUGAAGAUAGCAGGAAAGCAGAGGUUCAGAGGAACAAAAGCAUCUCUAUACGCUUAUCUGAAAUUCUCACCAAUGAAUUACAUAAGUAUCUCUAUCCUAGUUUAAGUUUUAUUUAUCUUUUAAUUAUUAAAACUCUAUAACCAUUUGAAUUCGCCUGACUGAGGUUUAUAAGGUGACCAUAGCUUGCUUCAAGCCGACAAUCUCCGUGGGAUCGACCCUUACUCACGUAAGGUUUAUUACUUGGACGACCCAGUGCACUUGCUGGUUAGUUGUGUGAAGUUGUGACAAAGAAUUAAGAUUAUGAAUGUGCGUAUUGAGUUUUUAGCGCCGUUACCAAGGAAUGGAACCGUCACGAUUUCUGCGCACCAAGUUUUUGGCACCGUUGCCGGGGAUUGUUCGAGUUUGGAAAACUGACGGUUCAUCCUGUUGCUCAGAUUAGGUAAUUUUAUUAUAAUUUUAACCUUUUUGUUUUUAUUAUUCUUAUUUUCGAAAAUUUCAAAAAAAAUUUCUUUUUUUCGUUUUUUCCAAUUAAUUUUCGAAAAAUACAAAAAAAUUUACAAAAUCAUAAAAUCAAAAAUAUUUUUUGUGUUUCUUGCUUGAGUCUAGAGUCAACUUUUAAGUUUGGUGUCAAUUGCAUCUUUUUAAUUUUCUAAAAAUUAUUUUCGAAAAUUUCAUGCAUUGCAUUCUUCAUGAUCUUCAAGUUGUUCUUGGCCAGUCUUCUUAUUUGAUCUUCAUAUUUUCUUGUUUUGUGUCUUUUCUAGUUUUUCAUAUGCAUUUUCAAUUUGUUAGUGUCUAAAGUUUGAAAAUUUCUAUGUUUGGUGUCUUGCAUAUUUUUCUUUUCUUAAAAAUUUUCAAAAAUAAGUCUUGAUGUUCAUCUUGAUCUUCAAAGUGUUCUUAGUAUUCAUCUUGACAUUUAAAGUGUUCUUGCAUGCAUCAUGUGUUUUGAUCUAAAAUUUCCAUGCAUUGUGUCUUUUUUUGUAUUUUUCUCUCUCAUUAUUAAAAAUUCAAAAAUCAAAAAAAUAUCUUUCCCUUUUUCUCCUCAUAAAAUUCGAAUAUUUGAGUUGACUUUUUCAAAAAAUUUUAAAAUUUAGUUGUUUCUUAUGAGUCAAAUCAAACUUUCAAUUUAAAAAUUCUAUCUUUUUUCAAAAAUCAAAUCUUUUUCAUUUUUCUUUUAUGAUUUUCGAAAAUUUCAAAAAUUAUUUUCAAAAUCUUUUUCUUAUUUCUAUUUCACAUUUUCGAAUUAAUUGCUAACAUUUAAUGUUUUAAUUCAAAAAAAAUUUUAAGUUGUUACUUGCCUAUUAAGAAAGGUUCAAUCUUUGAAUUUUAAAAUCAUAUCUUUUAGUUUCUUGUUAAUCAAGUAAUCAACUUUGAUUUCAAAAAUCAAAUAUUUUUAAUUUCCAAUUCAAAUCUCUUUCAAAAUGAUUUUCAAUCAUAUCUUUUUCAAAUUGAUUUUCAAAUCUUUUUCAAUCAAUCUUAUCUUUCUGUUUGAAUCAUAUCUUUUUCAAAACUACUUAACUAAUUCUCUCUCUCUAAUUUUCGAAAAUCCCUUCCCUCUUUUUCAAAAUUCCUUUUAAUUAACUAAUUGUUUUAAUUUUAAUUCAAUUUGAUUUCAAUUUUAAUUUUCGAAAUUUAACUUUAAAUUUUAUUUUUAUUUUAAUUGAUUUUCGAAAUUCCUCCCUCUCUCAUCUCCUUCUGAUUAUUUAUUUAUUUACUAACACUCCUCUUCAUCUAAGAAUUCGAACCCACUCCUCACCCUUGUGUUUGGAUUCUCCUUCUUCUACUCACAUAAAGGAAUCUCUAUACUGUGACAUAGAGGAUUCCAUAUUUUCUUUUCUGUUUUCUUCUUUUUCAUAUGAGCAGGAACAAGGAUAAAAAUAUUCUUGUUGAAGCUGAUCCUGAACCUGAAAGAACUCUGAAGAGGAAGCUAAGGGAAGCUAAAGCACAACUCUCUGGAGAAAAUCUGACAGAAAUUUUCGAAAAAAAAGGAGACAUGGCCGAAAAUAAUAACAAUGCAAGGAAGAUGCUUGGUGACUUUACUGCACCUAAUUCCAAUUUACAUGGAAGAAGCAUCUCAAUCCCUGCCAUUAGAGCAAACAACUUUUCAGUUCUUAACUGAAUUCUUGUAGAUCUGUGAUACUAUUAAGACCAAUGGGGUUGAUCCCGAGGUCUACAGGCUUAUGCUUUUCCCGUUUGCUGUAAGAGACAGAGCUAGAGUAUGGUUGGACUCUCAACCUAAAGAUAGUAUUCUUCUUCUGAAGAGAAUGAAGAUGUUACUGAAGAGCAAGUUGCCAAGUACCUUGGUGCAUAUCAUGAAGCUGAAUGCCAAAUUAUUUGGUAAUGAGACUUGGGAAGAUGAACCUCCCCUGCUCACCAAUGAACUGAGUGAUCUGGAUCAACUGACAUUGCCUCAAAAGAAACAGGAUCCUGAAAAGUUCUUAAUACCUUGUACCAUAGGCACCAUAACCUUUGAGAAGGCUCUAUGUGACAUUGGGUCAGGGAUAAACCUCAUGCCACUCUCUGUAAUGGAGAAACUUGGAAUCUUUAAGGUGCAAGCUGUCAGAAUCUCAUUAGAGAUGGCAGACAACUCAAGAAAACAGGCUUAUGGGCAAGUAGAGGACGUGUUAGUAAAGGUUGAAGACCUUUACAUCCCUACUGAUUUCAUAAUCCUAGACACAGGGAAGGAUGAGGAUGAAUCCAUCAUCCUUGGAAGACCCUUCCUAGCCACAGCAAGAGCUGUGAUUGAUGUGGACAAAGGAGAGUUAGUCCUUCAACUGAAUGAGGACAACCUUGUGUUUCAAACUCAAGGAUCUCCUUCUGUAACCAUGGAGAGGAAGCAUGAAAAGCUUCUCUCACUGUAGAGUCAACAAAAACCCCACAGUCAAACUCUAAGUUUGGUGUUGAACCCCCACAUUCAAACUCUAAGUUUGGUGUUGGGAGGUUCCAACCUUGCUCUGAUUAUCUGUGAGGCUCCAUGAGAGCUCACUGUCAAGCUAUUGACAUUAAAGAAGCGCUUGUUGGGAGGCAACCCAAUGUUAUUUAAGCAUAUCUAUUUUAUUUUCUUUUUGUUAUUUCGUGUUUUAUUAGGUUGAUGAUCAUGUGAAGUCACAAAAACUACUGAAAAAUCAAAAACAGAAUGAAAAAUAGCAUUGAAAAUAGCACACCCUGGAGGAGAGCAGUCUGGCGUUUAAACGCCAGAAACAAGCAUCUGUCUGGCGUUUAACGCCAGAAACAGGCACCAAGCUGGCAUUAAACACCAGAAACAAGCUACAUUUGGGCGUUUAACGCCAGAAACAGGCAGCAGUCUGGCGUUAAACGCCAGGAUUGCACAGCAAGGGCGUUUUACACGCCUAAUUGGAGCAGGGAUGUUAAGUCCUUGACCCCACUUGAUCUUUGGAUCCCACAGGAUCCCCUCAAGAUCUGUGGACCCCACAGGAUCCCUACCUUUUCUUCUCUCCUCUUCACACAUUUUCAUAACUCUCUCCCCCAAAUACCCUUCACCAAUCAACUCAAUCACUCUUCCCCAUCACCUCUUCACCACUCACAUCCAUCCUCUCUUCCCCAAAAACCCCACCUACCUUCAAAUUCAAAAUAUUUUCCCUUCCAAACCCAACCCUAAUGGCCGAAACUUAAACCCCUCCCCACUUCUAUAUAAACCCUCAUUCCUUCUUCAUUUUCACACAACACAACCCUAUCUUCCCCCCUUGGCCGAAAACACUUCUCUCUCCCUUUCCUCCAUUUCUCUUCUUCUUCUCUUUCUUUCAUUCUUCUUUUGCUCGGGGACGAGCAAACAUUUUAAGUUUGGUAUGGUAAAAGUAUUACUUUUUGUUUUUCCAUAACCACUAAUGGCACCUAAGGCCAGAGAAACCUCUAGAAAGAGGAAAGGGAAGGCAAUUGCUUCCACCUAUGAGUCAUGGGAGAUGGAGAGAUUCAUCUCAAAGGUCCAUCAAGACCACUUCUAUGAAGUUGUGGCCAAGAAGAAAGUGAUCCCUGAGGUUCCUUUCAAGCUCAGAAAGAAUGAGUAUCCGGAGAUCCGACAUGAGAUUCAAAUAAGAGGUUGGGAAGUUCUCACCAACCCCAUUCAACAAGUCGGGAUCUUAAUGGUUCAAGAGUUCUAUGCAAACGCAUGGAUCACUAGGAACCAUGAUCAAAGUGUGAACCCGAAUCCAAAGCAUUGGCUUACCAUGGUUCGGGAGAAAUACUUAGAUUUCAGUCCGGAAAAUGUAAGGCUAGCAUUCAACUUGCCAAUGAUAGAAGAGAACGCAUGCCCCUACACUAGAAGAGUCAACUUUGAUCAAAGGUUGGACCAAGUCCUCAUGGACAUAUGUGUGGAAGGAGCUCAAUGGAAAAUUGACUCAAGAGGCAAGCCGGUUCAACUAAGAAUGCAUGACCUCAAACCAGUGGCGAGGGGAUGGUUAGAGUUCAUUCAACGCUCAAUCAUUCCUACUAGUAACCGGUCUGAGGUUACUAUAGACCGAGCCAUCAUGAUCCAUAGUAUCAUGAUUGGAGAGGAGGUGAAAGUUCAUGAGAUUAUACCUCAAGAACUUUACAAGGUGGCUGACAAGUCCUCCACUUGGGCAAGGUUAGCCUUUCCUCACCUCAUAUGCCACCUCUGCAAUUCGGCUGGAAUUGACAUAGAGGGAGACAUCCUCAUUGAAGAGGACAAGCCCAUCACUAAGAAAAGGAUGGAACAAAUAAGAGAUCAUGGACCUCAACAAGAGCAUGAGAAAAUUCCUCAUAAUGAAAUCCCUGAGAUGCCUCAAGGGAUGCACUUUCCUCCACAAAACUAUUGGGAGUAAAUCAACACCUCCCUAGGAGAAUUAAGUUCCAACAUGGGACAACUAAGGGUGGAACAUCAAGAGCACUCCAUCAUCCUUCAUGAGAUUAAAGAAGAUCAAAGAGCUAUGAGGGAGGAGCAACAAAGGCAAGGAAGAGACAUGGAGGAGCUCAAAAGCACCAUUGGUUCUUCAAGAAGAGGAAGACGCCAUCCUCACUAAGGUGGACUCAUUCCUUAAUCUCCUUGUCUAUUUAUUUUACUGUUUUUCGAUUUUUGAGCUUUAUGUUUUAUUUAUGUUUGUGUCUUUACUAUAUGAUCACUAGUGUCUAAGUGUCUAUGCCUUAAAGUUAUGAAUAUGAAUCCAUCACCUCUCUUAAAUGAAAAAAUGUUCUAAAAACAAAAGAACAAGAAGUACAUGGUUUCGAAUUCAUCCUUGAAACUAGUUUAAUUAUUUUGAUGUGGUGACAAUACUUUUUGUUUUUUGAAUGAAUGCUUGAACAGUGCAUAUGUCUUUUGAAAUUGUGGUUUAAGAAUGUUAAAUAUGUUGGCUCUUGAAGAAUGAUGAAAAAGGAGACAUGUUAUUUGAUAAUCUAAAAAAUCAUAAAAUUGAUUCUUGAAGCAAGAAAAAGCAGUGAAUACAAAAAGCUUGCAAAAAAAAGAAAAAAAAAAGAAAAGAAAAAAAUGGCAAAAAAAAAGAGAGAAAGAAAAAAAGAAAAAGCAAGCAGAAAAAGCCAAUAGCCCUUAAAACCAAAAGUCAAGGGUAAUAAAAAAGAUCCAAGGCUUUGAGUAUCAGUGGAUAGGAGGGCCUAAAGGAAUAAAAUCCUGGCCUAAGCGGCUAAACCAAGCUGUCCCUAACCAUGUGCUUGUGGCGUGAAGGUGUCAAGUGGCAACAAUUUAAGUUUGGUGUUGUGAUGAGCGGAUAAUUUAUACGCUUUUUGGCAUUAUUUUUAUAUAGUUUUCAGUAUGAUUUAGUUAGUUUUCAGUAUAUUUUUAUUAGUUUUUAAAUAAAAUUCACAUUUCUGGACUUUACUAUGAGUUUGUAUAUUUUUCUGUGAUUUCAGAUAUUUUUUGGCUGAAAUUGAGGGACUUGAGCAAAAAUCAGAUUCAGAGGUUGAAGAAGGACUGCAGAUGCUGUUGGAUUCUGACCUCUCUACACUCAAAGUGGAUUUUCUAGAGCUACAGAACUCCAAAUGGCGCGCUCUUACUUGCGUUGGAACGUAGACAUCCAAAGCUUUCCAGCAAUAUAUAAUAGUUCAUACUUUGCCCGAGUUUAGAUGACGCAAACUGACGUUCAAUGCCAGUUCCAUGCUGCAUUCUGGAGUUAAACGCCAGAAACAGGUUGCAAAGUGGAGUUAAAUGCCAGAAACAGGUUACAAACUGGCGUUCAACUCCAAGAGAAGUCUCUACACGUGUAAAGCUCAAUGCUCAGCCCAAGCAUACACCAAGUGGGCCCCAGAAGUGGAUUUCUGCAUCAUUUACUCAUUUCUGUAAACCCUAGUAACUAGUUUAGCAUAAAUAGGACUUUUUACUAUUGUAUUUACAUCUUCGGAUCAUUUUUAGUUUGGUUCUCCUGGUUCCCUCUUUGGGGCCGAGACCAAUGAACUCCAUUAUCACUUAUGUAUUUUCAACGGUAGAGUUUCUACACACCAUAGAUUAAGGUGUGGAGCUCUGCUGUUCCUCAUGAAUUAAUGCAAAGUACGAUUGUUUUUCUAUUCAAUUCAAGCUUAUUCCUUCUCUAAGAUAUCCAUUCACACCCAAGAACAUGAUGAAUGUGAUGAUUAUGUAACGCUCAUCAUCAUUCUCAAUUAUGAACGCGUGCCUGACAAACACUUCCGUUCUACAUGCAAACAAGCUAGAAUGAGUAUCUCUUAGAUAUCUAAUAUAGGGGACCGAGUCCGAGAUAUUAAAAUCUUCGUGGUAUAAGUUAGAACCCAUGGACGGCCAUUCUUGAGAUCCAAAAAGUCUAAACCUUGUCUGUGGUAUUCCGAGUAGGAUCUGGGAAGGGAUGGCUGUGACGAGCUUCAAACUCGCGAGUGCUGGGCGUAGUGACAGACGCAAAAGGAUAGUAAAUCCUAUUCCAGUAUGAUCGAGAACUGACAGAUGAUUAGCCAUGCAGUGACAGCGCAUUGGACCAUUUUUACAGAGAGGAUGGGAUGUAGCCAUUGACAACGGUGAUGCCCUACAUAAAGCUUGCGAUGGAAAGGAGUAGGAAUGAUUGGAUGAAGACAGCAGGAAAGCAAAGGUUCAAAGGAACGAAAGCAUCUCUAUACGCUUAUCUGAAAUUCUCACCAAUGAAUUACAUAAGUAUAUCUAUCCUAGUUUAUGUUUUAUUUAUCUUUUAAUUAUUAAAACUCUAUAACCAUUUGAAUCCGCCUGACUGAGGUUUACAAGGUGACCAUAGCUUGCUUCAAGCCGACAAUCUCCGUGGGAUCGACCCUUACUCACGUAAGGUUUAUUACUUGGACGACCUAGUGCACUUGCUGGUUAGUUGUGCGAAGUUGUGACAAAGAAUUAAGAUUAUGAACGUGCGUAUUGAGUUUUUAGCGCCGUUACCAAGGAAUGGAACCGUCAUGAUUUCUGCGCACCAUUCAUCUAGUGAGAAGGCCACUUGGAAACUCUAUGAGGAUGCGAAGAAUUAAUACCCCACUUUUGACCUUGAGGGCAUGGUCACUUUCAAUGGAGGGGGUAAUGAUACAAGCCAAAGAAAGAAUACAAUUGGAAAAGGGGCUCAACAGAAAGAGAAUCCAUAAAAUAAGAGCUCUAACUAACUUGCGCAAAGAAAGAGAAGUAUGAAAUAGCUAAAGGAGGCUUAGGGAAGAUCAUCUUGAUGCUCUGUGAGUCUCAUCUCUUUGACCUUCUUUCUCUCUGACUCUCAAACUUCUUCUUCUUCUAUUCUUGGUCUUAUACUGGUUCACUAUUUCUAAUACAGAUGAUACACUAAUUGUACUUAGCUGGAACCCCAUCAUUUCUUCUUGUUACUCAAUACAAACAAAUACUCUACCAUUGUUCCCUUUUAUUCAUUUGUUAAUUCCGUUAUCUCUGGUUCCAUAUUAGAGACUAAAUCAAAAUUUUAUCCAAAUAUUAAGAACCAAAAUAAUACUUUUACUCUUUUAUUUUUUAAGAUUUUAUUUCGAGUAAAUAAUCAUUUCUAACCAUGAAAGACUUGAACGCCGACAAAAUUGACUGUAAAAAAUUUAAACUAAUGUUAUACCUUUAAAUUGUAGGAUUACAAGUGUUCAUAACACGCAGCGGAAGUAAUAAAGUAAUCCUAUUGAUCUAUUUUGUGCUUAAAACUUUAUUGAAAUAAGAUGGGUUAGAUGCCAAUACCUGAGUACCCUAGUAAAUGAAAACUUUCUCCUUCGAUAGUACAAAGGUACUAUGUGUAUUCACACCGAGACUGAUCCUUGUUGUCAACUCCUUGACCAGUGGAUUUAACUGAGAAAUUUCUUGCAACUCCUUGCACCAGCAAUUCUUCACUAAGAAUUGGAAUAUUUGUGUAUGUGGAGGUAAAAGAAAAACUUGUGUGUUCUUUCUUUUAUCAUAUACACAUAUAUAUAGUAUGAGAUUGGUGACUGAUUUGUGAAUCAGAUUACAAUUUAAUUUGAAACAGAAUCAGUUGGAUCUUAUCCAUAUUUAAAACUCAUCAUAGAAUAAAUAAUUAAUUAUUUAAUAUUCUCAAUUAUCAUAUUAUUAUAUUCAUGGUGCUAGCAAAGAAUAUAAUAAUAUUCCAUUUGAAUUCAUAUAAUUAUUUAUUUGAUCUAAUCAAAAUAAUAAUUAAAUGAUUAUUUACCAAGGAUUAGAACACUCGUUAGUGUAUGACCCCAUAGGUUCAAUACUAAGCGGGUAGUAAAUUAGUCAUACUAAAUUUACUAAUCAAGGUUGGCGUCUAGCAACGCUCCUUGACGAUCCGAUAGUAUGAAGUAAUAAUAUUUUUACUAAGAACCCAAGAUGAACAAAAAAUACAACUCCUUCCAUCUUUUCAGCUCUUGGCUAACUUUUAGAGUACGGUUUAAUUGUCAAACUCUAACUUGUUACCAUUAUUAUAAUGAAUUAUGAAUGACUUAAGAAGUUCGAUCCAUGAUGGGUUUUACUGAUCUUCUAUUGAAUUUAUGGGGCUAUGCUUUAGAAACAGCAGCAUAUCUGCUAAAUAAAGUACCCAUUAAAGCAGUUUCUUCAACACCAUAUGAGAUAUGGAAAGGACGAAAAUCAAAUCUCAAGCACAUUAGAGUUUGGGGAUGUCCAGCAUAUGUUAAGAAAUUGUAAAGUAAUAAACUUGAUGCUAGGUCCGAUAAAUGUAGAUUCAUUGGUUACCCUAAAGAAAUAAUGGGUUAUUAUUUCUAUCACCCUUCUGAUCACAAAGUGUUUGUGGCAAGAGGUGGAACCUUUUUAGAAAAGAAAUUUCUUUCUGAAGGAAGACAAGGUGAAGAAAUAGAACUUGAUGAAGUUCAAGAAACCAAUGAAAUAGUACAAGCUCAAGAACAUGAAAUUCAAGUUGAGCAACCAACUUUGGAUGUACUCAAACUAAUACCAAAUUUAUCAUCUUCAAGAGUUGAGGAUAACGAACCAAUAGUAGUUCAAAGAGAGAUUAAUGAACCAAUCCUUGAACUACCUUUGGUACAAGAACUACCUCUUCGAUGGUCCACAAGAGAACAUCGUCCACCACUAAGGCUAAACCUAAUAGUGCAAGAUGAUGUGGAAAAUGGGAUCGAUUAUGAUGAUAAUGAUCCUAAGACUUAUGAAGAGGCAAUGCAAAGUUCCGAAAGUCUAAAAUGGCAGAGUGCCGUGGAAUCCGAAAUAGAGUCUAUGAGGAUCAACAAUGUUUGGACUUUGGUUGAACCCUCAAAAGACAUAAAAUCUAUUGGUUGCAAAUGGGUUUACAAGAAAAAGAUUGGAGCAGAUGGUAAGGUAGAGACCUAUAAAGCCCGUCUAGUUGCCAAGGGAUACCGUCAAAAGGAGGGAAUAGAUUAUGAAGAAACAUUUUCUCCUGUGGCAAUGCUCAAAUCUAUUCGGAUUCUACUUGCUAUAACAGCUUACUAUCAUUAUGAAAUAUGGCAAAUGGAUGUGAAAACAACUUUUCUUAAUGGAGAACUCACAGAGGAAGUGUACAUGACACAACCUGAAGGUUUCACACUUCAGUCUGAUCAUAGUAAAGUUUGUAAGCUAAAACGCGCCAUUUAUGGACUAAAGCAAGCUUCUAGAAGUUGGAACAUUUGCUUUAAUAAGACAAUCGAAAAGUUCGAUUUUAUCUGGUGUGAAGAGGAUCCUUGCAUAUACAAAAAGUUUAGUGGGAGUACAGUCAUUUUCUUAGUACUCUAUGUUGAUGACGUAUUACUAAUAGGAAAUGAUGUACCAGCAUUGUAAAAUACCAAAACUUGGCUAUCUCAACAAUUCUCCAUGAAAGAUUUGGGAGAAGCAGCCUAUAUUCUAGGAAUAAAGAUCUAUCGAGAUAGAUCUAAAAGGUUGCUCGGACUCUCACAAUCUAUGUACAUUGAUACCAUAUUGAAAAGGUAUAACAUGGAAAACUCCAAAAAGGGCUAUUUACCAAUAGGCACUGGAAUUACUCUCAGUAGAAAGGAUUUUCCUAAAAUUUCUGAAGAGAGAGUACGCAUGAGUAGAAUACCAUAUGCUAGUGCAGUGGGAGCUAUCAUGUAUACCAUGACAUGUACACGUCCUGAUGUCGCAUAUGCGCUAGGAGUAGCCAGUCGAUAUCAGGCAAAUCCAGGUGAGGAACAUUGGAAGGUGGUUAAAUCCAUUCUAAAAUAUUUAAGAAGAACCAAAGACUAAUUCCUCAUUUAUGGAGAUUCUGAACUUAUACCAAAAGGGUUCACUGACGCAAGUUUUGCCUCAGACAAAGAUGAUAGCAAAUCUACUUCAGGUUAUGUUUUCACCUUAAACGGUGGUGCAGUGAGUUGGAAAAGUUCCAAACAAGCUACUGUAGCUGAUUCAACAACAGAAGCUGAGUACAUAGCAGCAAGUGAGGCUGCUAAACAAGCUGUGUGGAUGAAGAAGUUCAUAAACGAGCUUGAUGUGGUGCCUUCAAUUAAAGAACCACUUCCAUUACUGUGCGACAAUAAUGGAGCCAUUGCACAAGCAAAAGAGCCAAGAUCACAUCAAAAAUCUAAGCAUAUCUUGAGAAUGUAUCAUUUGAUAAGAGAGAUCGUUGAACGUGGAGACGUUGAAAUUCAAAAGGUUGCUGGGAAGGAUAAUGCAGAAAACCCAUUCACUAAGGCACUUGGAUCAAAAGAGUUUGAUAAGCACAUGUGGGAAUUGGGAUUGAAAUAUAUGACUGAUUGGCUCUAGUGCAAGUGGGAAAUUUUGUUGGAAAUACAUGUAUUCCCUAGAUCCAAUCUGUCAUUAGCUCUAGUGCAAGUGGGAGAUUGUUGGAGAUAAGUGUGUAUGUCCAACAAAAUACUAUUGUGAAUUAUUAUUAUUAUUAUUAUUAUUUCUUUUUAUAAGAAUAAACUUUUAUAAUUUAUGAUAGUGUCCUUAAUUAAAAUUAGAAACGAAUAAUUACGAUAGGGAUCGUAAUAAUGAGAUAUACGUUCAACUAUGGUAUGAGUUUGAGCUCUACGAUUAUAAUGAAUGAAAUAAACAAUGCCUUAGCCAAGGGGUUUGAAUGAAUUAAAAAAUGAGUUUCUUAAGUCAUUCAUAAUUCAUUAUAAUAAUGGUAACAAGUUAGAAUUUGACAAUUAAACCGUACUCUAAGGUAACGUUUGGUGGAGAGACAGAGACAGAAAGACUGAGACUGAGAGACAGAGACUAAGAGACAGGGAUUGAAAUAAAUUUCAGUAUUCUGUUUGGUGCAAAAUGGGAGACAGAAAUUGAAACAAGAAUAAAACUCUAAUUUAAUUUGCACAAAAGGUAAAAUUGGAAUUAUUUAAUUGAAAUGAAAGUAUUUUAGGUAUAAAAUAUUAUUAAAGUUUCAGUCUCCAUCUCUAAAAAUUUCAGUCCCCUGUGUGCCUACUUUUUGGAGGUACUGAAAUACUGAAAUUUUAGAGACAGAAACAGAAAUUUUAGUACCAGUCUCUGAACUAACAAACACGAUACUGAAUCUCAAUCUCUCAGUCUCUGUCUCAAUACCUCAAAACAAACGCUACCUAAAAGUUAGCCAAGAGCUGAAAAGAUGGAAGGAGUUGUAUUUUUUGUUCAUCUUGGGUUCUUAGUAAAAAUAUUAUUACUUCAUACUAUCGGGUCGUCAAGGAGCGUUGCUAGACACCAACCUUGAUUAGUAAAUUUAGUAUGACUAAUUUACUACCCGCUUAGUAUUGAACCUAUGGGGUCACACACUAACGAGUGUUCUAAUCCUUGGUAAAUAAUCAUUUAAUUAUUAUUUUGAUUAGAUCAAAUAAAUAAUUAUAUUAAUUCAAAUGGAAUAUUAUUAUAUUCUUUGCUAGCACCAUGAAUAUAAUAAUAUGAUAAUUGAGAAUAUUAAAUAAUUAAUUAUUUAUUCUAUGAUGAGUUUUAAAUAUGGAUAAGAUCCAACUGAUUCUGUUUCAAAUUAAAUUGUAAUCUGAUUCACAAAUCAGUCACCAAUCUCAUACUAUAUAUAUGUGUAUAUGAUAAAAGAAAGAACACACAAGUUUUUCUUUUACCUCCACAUACACAAAUAUUCCAAUUCUUAGUGAAGAAUUGCUGGUGCAAGGAGUUGCAAGAAAUUUCUCAGUUAAAUCCAUUGGUCAAGGAGUUGACAACAAGGAUCAGUCUCGGUGUGGAUACACAUAGUACCUUCGUACUAUCGAAGGAGAAAGUUUUCAUUCACUAGGGUACUCAGGUAUUGGCAUCUAAUCCAUCUUAUUUCAAUAAAGUUUUAAGCACAAAAUAGAUCAAUAGGAUUACUUUAUUACUUCCGUUGCGUGUUAUGAACACUUGUAAUUCUACAUAAAUAAUAAAUUAUGUUUGACAAUAAUAUUCAAUAAUUAAAUUUUUAUUAUUUUUUUUAAAAAAUACAUCAAAUUUCUAAAUUACCUUUCCUUUAUCAUCAUCUUCAACCUCAAAAUACUAUUUCUUUCUCUCUGGCAAAAUCUAAAAAAUAAGAACUCAUCUUUAUACCCAUUCCCAUUAACUAAGAACUAUUAUUCCUUAUACUAUUCUUAGUCGUCUAAAUCUAACCUUAAUUUUAAAUUGUCAAAAUAAAUACAACACAUAAAUUAAUUAAUAAAUUGUUUAUUCAAGUACUUUGAAUUGGCAAACAUGAAUGCUAAUCGUGAUUACAAGAGAAGCCUGGACCGAAAAAGAGAAAGUGAUGAAGUGUUGAUAACUAACUAUUAAUUAAUUAAUUACUUGGAACAAUGUUGGUGAUGAUGAACUCCUCCAAAUACAUCUUUCUAUCAUAUUAAGAGUGAUGGCAUCAAAAUGCUUGAUAACUAUCUCUUAAAAAUCUUCUUUAAUUUUGUGCACACAGGUGCUGGUGAAGUCUUAUAGCAAAAUCCUUACUAACACUGCUAAAUGAAACCUUGUGGCUUUUGUCAAUCUUAACGAGUCAAAAAUUUUGAUAUGUUCGAAUAUUGGUAAGUGUACUAAAUCAUUCUAAGUACGGUUAAAAGGGAGUCGAAUUAGACCAAGUUCAAGCUCGAUUCACAAAAAUUGAGUUUGGCUCACGGCUCAACUCAUUAACAAUCGAGUCUAUUUCGUAAGCUCAAACUCGACUCAUCGAAAGAUCCUGAGCUAGCUUGAGCUCACAAGUUGGCUUAACUAAUAGAAACAUAAUCUAUAAUUCUAUAUCAAUAAAUUAUAACUUUUAUAUUUUAAAAAAUAUUUAAAAAGAUCAAUUUUAUAUAUUUUCUAUCUUGAGUCCGUUCAUGAGCUAAUGAGCUAAGCUUAUCUAAAUUCAAACUUGGCUCAUUUAAUUUAUGAGCUCAAUUCCAGGCUCAAGCUCGGCCCGCCAGCUCACAAGUUCAGUUUAUCGAGCUAUUAACGAGUCGAGCUCGAGCUGGUUCAUGAUCUGACUUGACUCACUUCCAACCUUAGCUUUAAGUAAUACCACAGUGAGUAGAUAUCGUUCCUACGCGAAUUAAAAGAUUGAAUCAAGUAACUUUUAGUUGAACCCCUAAUUAGAUCGAUCAAACCUUUGCAAGAGAAUGUGAAUCUUGAAAUAGAAUCUUGAAGUAAUGAAGAAGAGUGAAGGAGAGUGUUUGAUUGUGAAUGAGAAAAUGUUUAUGAAUUUGGGAAAGCAAUCAGUGAAUGAGAUGUUAAAGGCUUCGGAGAUGUUUAACGUUUAGAAAAAAAUAGUGCUUAUGUUUUCUUACUUUGACUCAUGCAAAAAUACUUUCACGGUAAAUCAUAUAUAACUAAAUUCUAAUUCCUUGACAAUUGAAUUUCUCUUUAACUUAUUCAAUCACCAAUUUUUUGGUCAAUUAAUUAAGAAAAGAGGUUAAGCACGAUUUUGAUUUAAUGCUGUACAACUUUCAAAAUACUAUUCCUAGCCAAGUUGAAAAGUAUGAGAAAGAGUUUUAAGCUAAUCCCGAUAUUAAAUUUUCCAAAAUAAUAACAGAAUCCAAAACAGAAUUACAAUAUUUUUCAAUACUUCUAACCAUUAAAGAUGAAGAAUGAGACUCAAUCUUGAAAAAUAUUAAUGCAUUAAUCAAAAGAAAACGCUUACAUUACCAAUCCAUAAAAUCAAACAGAGCUCCUAACCCUUAGCAAGAGAGUUUUAGUUACUCAUGAAAAAGAAAACAACCUAAAACUAAUGAGAUGCUAGAUGAAUCCAAUUAUGAUUCGAUGAUGGACGAUAGAUGAUCCUUGUGAACCAUGCGUUCACUUAUUUAUAUUCUACUUCUAACCUAGAAUUCAAAUUUAAAAACUAAAUCUAAUCUUAUCUUUUAAAGGAUAAGAUAGAUAAAAACAACAAUUCAAAUCUAAUCUAAAACUAAAUCUUAACAACCAAAUCUUAUCUUUCUAGAAGAAGUUAAUGGUAACUAAUCAUUCAAAUCUUGAAUCUUUUGAGUUGAGUUGGAGCUUCUUGGGAAAAGACAUUGGACGUGGCGCUGGGCUUGGAUGAUUGGCGCCUAACUUGAAUGCAAUUUUGGGCCACUGGGAGUGAAAAAUCACUUGAAGAUGGGUUCUAAAAGUUGGCGCUGAGCUCCCAUGUUGUGGCUCUCAUUAGGUGUCGAGCUUGAGUCAUGGAAGUAGGGUGUUAGCCCUUGAGCACCAUCAAAGGGGCUAGGCUUAGAGGCUAGGUUGCUGAGCUUGGUGUCCUGGAGCUGGGCGCCAGUUCUUGGCGUUGGACUUAGAUGCUCCAAGUUGGGCUUGGGCACCAUACUUGGGCGAUGGGCUUGAUUGGAUGGUGUUGAGCUUGAGAUCAUUGAAGCCUGGCGCCAGCUUCUCUUCCUCUCCUAGGAGUGUACACUUGUAUUUUUUUGUUUGUUUAUUUUUCUCCUGAUUACUUUAAACUAAUCCUAAAAACACAGUCAUUCUAAAACAACUCCAAACAUAUGAUUAGUCAUAGAAACUUCAAUAAAAACGUAAGAACUUUGAUUUAAACCUAAGAAAUUUAUUCAAAAAUACAUAUAAAAAUCACUAAAGAUACCUAGGCAUUACAAUACCGAACUUAAAACUUUGUUUGUCUUCAAGCAAAAAGAAGAGUAAACAGAGUUUAUCUUAGUGACAAGAAUUGAUGAGUUUGUAAAUUUAAGUCCAAUAAAAGUGGGUUUUAUAAUAAUCCACAUGAUUACAUAUGUACUUCUCUUGAUAAAUCUUGCAAGCUCAAGGAUUAAGAAUAUUUAAAACUCAAUUCCGAAUUAUAUUAUGAGAAUCCUUUUAGAAUUGUAUGACCUUGGAAGCAGUUACUUAAUAAUUUAAUCAGAAAAAGAUAUUCGAAGUCUUUGACUCUAAGUGCUUUAUCUCAGAACAACUCUUAAUAUAGGUUUUCAAUCGAUAAUCUCGAGCCAGUUGGCUCAAGUUAUCGGGUGAUGACACAUCCCUCGAAUUUACUCACCCAAGUCUCUCCUUAAUACACAAGCAUCACAGGCACAUAACUGGGUUCUAGUCAUUGGUGCUUAGAGCUUUAUUGCUUUUGGUUUUUCAAUCUUUCCACACUUUUUUUUAAAUCACUGCUUCAAAAGGGCUGGACGUUGAAUACUUAUAAUAUUUCUCUAGAAUUUUAUUUUUGGAAUUUUUUUCUCUUUUUUUCAUAAAAUUCCCUUGGGUUCAUUAAAUGUAACCACACUUCUAAGAACCACCACUUUUAUUUUGAACUUUCUUUUUAUUUUUCAAUUCUUUUCAUUCAGAACGCUCUCUUUACAUAAGCAAAGUACUGGAGGAGCAAGUACACAACUUUUAAGCAAAAUAAAGUAAAUAAAGAAACAAAAAAACAUGAUGAAAAAAGAAAGAAAGAAAGAAAAGAACAAAAACGAAAAAAAAAAAAAGAAAAAGAAAAAGAAAGAAAGCAACUAACCACCAGAAAAGAAAAAUAAGAUUACCAAAUUCACUCUUCAUCAUCAUUAUCACCGUCGACGUCCACAUGUUAUAUUGGUCUUCAUGGAGUUUGGAUCGAAACCUGUUUGCGUCAUAUGACGGAGUGGCCGGUUCCCUUUUUUUCUCUUUUUAAACAAAGACAUCUUGAGUUUUUGAUAUAUAACACACACCGUAUGCAAAGUACAAUCACAACACCAAACUUAAAGUUUGGACGUAUGAGUAAGAAAAGGAAAUAUGAAGUUAGAUGAAAUAAGAGGAAGUGGAACGUGUAUAUAAUAUGUGAUACAAGUGAAGUGUGCAUGUGCUAUUAUAGUGAAGUGAGGUGGGAAUUAUGUGGUUGUGAAUGCAUGAUGGUGUAUGUGGUGUGCAUGUGUGCAGUGGAAAUGAGUGAAAAAUAAAAGCUAAAUGCCAAAGUUAAAAAUCAUGAAAGUUGAAAUCAUGAUGCAUAGAGGUAACAUAUAAAUUUGCAUGCUUUCAUGCAUGUGAAGUAUGACAAGUGCAGAACUUGGAAAGAGUAAUAUGCAUGCUAGGUGUGUGGUUGAAUUGAUGUGUCGAGCAUGCCUAAUAUUGAAUUUUUAAAAGAUAAGUAAUUCAUCGGAGUAGUUAAAAAAAGCAAAAGGUAAAAAUGCAUGCAAUUAUUUUGAAUAACUUUUUACUAAGUUAAAAAUCAAGAACAGAAACAAAAA